ACUUGUAGAGCAAGUUGUUCAUUUCUUUGGUCCAUACAAUAAUUGCAAUCCGUACGUGUCCCCUCACACCUUCAAUUUAUGCAUUCAAAAUCUUAUUAUAAAUACAGCCCAAAAAUGCAUUAGUUUCUUCAUCCCUCAAUUUUCAUAUUUCAUAAGUACUAAGCUUUGAAACAAAAAUAAAAGAAUUAAGAAGAAUGGGUUCCAAGGCAAUUAUGUUUCUUGGUCUUUUUUUGGCUAUUUUCUUAAUGAUAAGCUCUGAGGUUGCAGCUAGGGAGUUGGCAGCUGAGACUUCCAAUGGUAAGCAUUUCUUUUCAUUUGUUCCCUCUCUUAGGGUAUGUUCGAUAAAAAAAAAUAUUUUUCAUGAAAAAUAUUUUGUAAGAAAAUAUAAGUGACUUCUUUAUUUACUUUUUUGUGUUCAAUAUCGUGAUAUAAUCUAGACAGAUAUAUAAUUGGUGGGGUUGGAUGGUGACGGUGGGAUGAAGAUGGGGCGAAGAUAAAUAUGUUUGAUCAUAAAAUUUGUCUACUUUUUGAAAAUUAUUUGAAACAAAAUCCCAAAAUUUCAAUCACUAAUGCUGUAGUUUGAUCAUGACACUUAAUAUAUAUUCUUUUUGUUUCAUGUUAUACGUCUCAAUUACUAUGCAUAAAGUAUAAGAAUAUACCAUAAACUUCCCAAACUUUGCUAAACUAAACUAAAGGUAUGUAAAUUAUAUUAUAAAUGCCCUAUGAGUUUUGUGAUCUUAUGUUACAUUGAAAUUAAAAAAAUUACAAUUAAAUAUAUAUAGGAAGAGGAGUACUCAUUUUGAAAUAUAAUAAAAAGGAAAGUACGACAUAUAAAUUGAAGUGCAAUUCAAAGACUAGUAAUGACUCAUCGUACGUGUUAGCUAGUUUAAUUAAUCUUCACAAUUCAUCGAUGCAGCGGUAAACGUUGAUGGACAUUAUUAUGGAGGCGGCUAUGGUAAGGGCCAUGGAAAACCUAAGAAAUGUUAUAGUUGCUGCAAGAAAUACAAAUAUGGAUGCAAAAAAUACUGCUGCUCUUAUGAAGAAUAUGUGGCUGCCCAGACUCACAACUAAAUAAUUAAUUAUUAUUGUAAACUUUUGAAAUUAAGUGACAAGAUACUAAUAAUCUUGCUACUUAAGACCCUUUGCUUGUAACAAGUAUGAAUAAAGCCAUUCAUUUACAAUGAAUGGUUGGUCAUGAUGUAAUGUUUUGUUGUACAAUAUAUCAUAUUGUGUUAAAAAUGUUUCCCUAAUGUUAAGAUUUUCUUCUUAUUUUUACUUAAGUAUUCUAUCAUCCCUUAAUCAUAUGUUUCAAGAUUGAAUCCUGGUCCGAAUAUAGAAUUGUCUUUGUUACAUAGUAUUUUACUCUAUUUGAAUUUUUUACCGUGAAUCCAAUUUAUUUAAGGCAUCUCUAAUUAAGGAUAUUGAACAUUGAGGGGAAAUUUUAAAAUAUUUAAUUUUCUUGUUAUUUAAUAAAGUAAGGAAAACAAUGCAGAAAAAAAGAAACAAUUUGUUCUUUUCUUUGUAUAAUAUUUAAAAAAAUAUAAUCACAGAAGAAAUAAAAUUAAAGCAUGGGGGACAAACGACUAAUAAUGUCAAAUCAUCACUUAUUUUUUUAUUUCUAAUGAACACUUUAGUCAGGGCUGAAAUCGAAAUUUUAUGAAAACAUCACAACAUAUAAACAAAAAUGAACACAUGAGUAAAUUUUAAUGAUUCAAUAUAUGAUACAAUGUAGUAGCUUUUUUCGACGAAGGAGAGUCAAUUAACAAUAUUAGAUAAGGAUGGUUACAUCAUUAAUAUUCACGAUCACCAUUAAGGGCGUAUUUACCUUAAGCUCGCAAUAUAUAUAUGCAACGUCAACCAAAUAACUCACAUUAGGGGUGUACAAAAAUGAACCGAAAACCGAAUUAAACCGCAAAUCGAGAAAAAAAAAUCCGACUAGUGGUUGGUUUGACUUGGUUUGGUAUUGAAAAAAAAACCCAACUAUAUUUGGGUUGGUUUGGUUUUAACUAAAAAAAACCAACCCGAGACCAAACCAACACGUCAUUAUAUAUAUAAUUUUAAAAUUUAUUUUAUAUUUUAUACAUAAAAAUAUUUACUUUGAAAUAAUUUUUAAAUCUUUCUUAUACUUUUUCAUAGUUUUUAUCUUUUAAUAUAUUAUUNNNNNNNNNNNNNNNNNNNNNNNNNNNNNNNNNNNNNNNNNNNNNNNNNNNNNNNNNNNNNNNNNNNNNNNNNNNNNNNNNNNNNNNNNNNNNNNNNNNNNNNNNNNNNNNNNNNNNNNNNNNNNNNNNNNNNNNNNNNNNNNNNNNNNNNNNNNNNNNNNNNNNNNNNNNNNNNNNNNNNNNNNNNNNNNNNNNNNNNNNNNNNNNNNNNNNNNNNNNNNNNNNNNNNNNNNNNNNNNNNNNNNNNNNNNNNNNNNNNNNNNNNNNNNNNNNNNNNNNNNNNNNNNNNNGAAAACAAAAAUACAGAAUGAUUAUUAUGAAAAAAAUAAGUGAACAAAUGGGGUUCUUUUGUAUAUUUUAUUUUUUGUUAUUGCUGAAUUUGCCGAACUUUUACAGCUUGUUUGAGUACUUGUUACCUAUAUAGUUGUAUUUUGGUGGCGAAAUGGUCUAAUAGACCCCUGUACUUGUAUGAGUUUGUAUUGUGAACCCUUCUACUUAACUCUUUAUCAAUUGAACCCUUAAACUUAUAAAACACAAUUUAUCAAACCCCUCUGACCAUUGACUAGGCUUAUGUGGCAUCAAUAUGGUUGAGUUGGCAAGAGUGUGUGAAUUCACUCUCGUUAAGGCGAGUGAUAUCCUAUUUAAGUUUUAAAAAAUAUUAAAAAAUUAAAAAAAAAUAAAACAAUAAAACAAAAAAACUUUAAAAAAAAUAACUAAAAAAGGCUUUCUUCUUCCGCCAACAGGUUCACAUCCAUUUUUGGCCAUCUCCAUCCCUGUCCAAUCCAUUUUUCUUUCUUCUUCACACUCUUGUCAUCUUCUUUAGCAGAUCUUCGCAUUGGCACCUAGAGAGAGACGACGCAGGUCAGUGGAAGAAGAACGAGGCGGUUGAGGGUAGGAUCUGGUCACGACAGCGAAGAGGUUUUUCGGUCAGAUCUGGUGGCCAUGGUGCGACGGAGAUGAAGACGGGUGAGGAAGAGGGCACGUAUGGUCGCCGGCAAGAGUUGCGACGACGACUGAGACGGCGGCGAGGAGCCUCCUAGAAUAUUUGUAUGCCGGAGACAGUAAGGGGUUUCUUGGCCUUCUGAUACUCCGGAGAGGAUGAAGAGCAUAUCGGUCGGUGAUGGUGAGGGGAGAGAAGCUAGUGCGGUGGCUUAGGGUUUCUAGAUUUGUGGAGGUUAGAGAAGGAGAAAAGAAAAUGGUAAGGGUGUGCGAUGAAGAUGGAGGUUGGUGGGGAGAUCGUAUUUGUGGUCUCGCCGGCAAGAGGAGCGGCAACAGCAGCGACUUUUUCCGACAGUUGGGCCAUUUCACGGUGAAAAUGGAAGAUGAUGUGAGGAGACCCAAACUUUUAAUUUAAAAUAAUAAAUUAAAAUUUAAUUUGUCAAAAUUACAUCAAAACUUUAUGAUUUUUCUUUUGUUAAAAAAGAAAUUAUUAUAUAAAAAAAAAAUGAUGUGGCAAAUUUUAUCUGACAUAGCGUAUGACAUUAGCGUGAUUGAGAAUCACGAUGAGUUGAAAGGGUUCAAUAGGUUGAGUUUAGAUGGGUUCAGGGGUCCAUAUGACAAAGAGGUAAGUAGAAGAAUUCACAAUACAAACGCAUACAAGUACAAGGGUCCACCAGAUCAUUUUGCCUAUUUUGGUAGGACUAAAGAAAUAUUUGAAGUACAAGUAAAUUAUAUGUUCGUAUGAAUACUUUACCGGAAAAACCCGAAAAAUCCGAGGUUGAAAAACCCGAGUUUUAUUGAUUUGGUUUGGUUUAUAGAUUUAAAAAUUCAACACAAAUGGUUGGAUUUGAUAAUUGAAAAAUCCGAACCAACCCGGUCAUGUACACCCCUAACUCACAUGAUUAUGAAUCAAGGAAAAGAAUAAAUAAUUUUCGUCAUGUUGUGCAAAAAUAUAUAUUUCUAAUCUUAUUAAUAUUAGGUUAGGGGGAAACCUUUUUUGGGUUAUUUAUUAUUUCUAUCUAUAUUUUGUGUAUAUAUAUAAAAAAAAAAUUGCAUAAUAUAUAAACGUAUCCUUUAAUUUGGUCUCAACUGACAUCUAGCCCUCCAACUUUGGAUGUGCACAAGUAGGGACUUAAACUUGUAUAGAGUUGAACAAGUAGACACACUAGUCCUACGUGACAUAAUACGCAUAGGACACCAUGUACGACACAAAUUAUCAUGUAGGACAUGUAUAUCUACUUGUUCUAUUAUAUAUAAACUUAAGUGUUUACCAUUAGUACACAUCCAAAAUUAAAGGUUAUAAAUAUCGAUUAAGGUCAAAAUAAAAUAAUAUUUUCAUGUAUUAUACUUGUUUUUUUAGAAGACUUUUCUUGAGUUAUAAAGCAAUAAAGAGAGUUGGCCCCUCUUAUUUAACUUGAUACGUUGUACAUUAAAAGAGUCAUUAAAUACGUCAUUUAAAGUCUUUGAGUAUUGACCAAAUCCAAGAGUAUAUAUACACCACUAUUUCUAGAUAUUUUAGGAUAAGGUAGUCCUACAAGUUAGCAUAUUUUAAAUUACUUUUUUGCAUAACUAUCCAAAAAUAUACUAUUAACACGACGAUUUAUUAUCGAAAUAUAUAAUACCCAUCACAUGCAUAUUAUUUUUUAAAGUUAUUUUAAUGUUUGAUUUUCUACUAAGUAUUAAUCUUUGUUUUUAGUUUGUUUUGUCGGAUGGUGUACGUAAGCCACUUGGUCAUAUUGAUGUGAUAUAUUUACAAAUAUUUUUUCGAAAAAAUAAGUAAAUUUUUAUCUAUUCUUAUGUUUUUUUAUAGGGAAAAAGUCUGAAAUAUAUUCGAACUUUAGCCAUUCUACUUAAUUUUACUAAUGGUGUUAUAGUAUUAACGUAUGUACUUGUGCCUUUCUACUUUUACUAAUGGUGUUUUGAUUAUUUUUAACUUUUAAUUUGAUUAUUUUGAAUAUUUAAGAUUUGUAAAAUACAAACAGAUACAAUUUAUAAAUAUUAUGUUUUUUUCAUCUUAACAAAAUAUUACUUACGACUCCACCAUAAAAUCAACACUCUAUUUAUCUACCACUUGUAGAGCAAGUUGUUCAUUUCUUUGGUCCAUACAUAAUUGCAAUCCGUAUAUGUAUCCCCUCACACCUCUAAUUAUUUAUGCAUUCAAAUCUUAUUAUAAAUAGAGCCCAAAAAUGCAUUAGUUUCUUCAUCCCUCAAUUUUCAUAUUUCAUAAGUACUAAGUUUUGAACAAAAGAAAAAUUAAAAAGAAUGGGUUCCAAGGCAAUUAUGUUUCUUGGUCUUUUUUUGGCUAUUUUCUUAAUGAUAAGCUCUGAGGUUGCAGCUAGGGAGUUGGCAGCUGAGACUUCCAAUGGUAAGCAUUUCUUUUCAUUUGUUCCCUCUCUUAGGGUGUGUUCGAUAAAAAAAAAAUGUUUUCAUGAAAAAUAUUUUGUAAGAAAAUAUAAGUGACUUCUUUAUUUACUUUGUUGUGUUUAAUAUUGUGAUAUAAUCUAGAUAAAUAUAUAAUUGGUGGGGUUGGAUGAUGACGGUGGGAUGAGGAUGGGGGAAGAUAAAUAUGUUUGAUCAUAAAAUUUGUCUACUUUUUGAAAAUUAUUGGAAACGAAAUCCCAAAAUUUCAAUUAAUAAUGCUAUAGUUUGAUCAUGACACUAAAUAUACAUUCCUUUUGUUUCAUUUUAUAUGUCUCAAUUACUAUGCAUAAAGUUUAAGAAUAUACCAUAAACUUUCCAAUCUUUGCUAAACUAAACUAAAGGCGUGUAAAUUAUAUUAUAAAUGUCCUAUGAAUUUUGUGAUCUUAUGUUACAUUGGAAUUAAAAAAAUUAAUUACAAUUAAAUAUAUAUAGUUAAUGGAGUACUCAUUUUGAAAUAUAAUAAAAAGGAAAGUACGACAUAUAAAUUGAAGCUCAAUUCAGAGACUAGUCAUAACUCAUCGUACGUGUUAGCUAGUUUAAUUAAUCUUCACAAUUCAUCGAUGCAGCGGUAAACGUUGAUGGACAUUAUUAUGGCGGUGGCUAUCACGAGGGCUAUGGAAAACCUAAGAAAUGUCAUAGUUGCUGCAAAAAAUACAAUAUGGAUGCAUAAAAUACUGCUGCUCUUAUGAAGAAUAUGUGGCUGCCCAGACUCACAACUAAAUAAUUAAUUGUGUGUAUUAUUAUUGUAAACUUUUGAAAUUAAGUGACAAGAUAAUAAUAAUCUUGUUACUUAAGACCCUUUGCUUGUAACAAGUAUGAAUAAAGCCAUUCAUUUACUAUGAAUGGUUGGUCAUGAUGUAAUGUUUUGUUGUACAAUAUAUCAUAUUGUGUUAAAAAAUGUUUCCCUAAUGUUAAGAUUUUCUUCUUAUUUUUACUUUAAGUAUUAUAUUCUAUCAUCCUUUAAUCAUAUAUUUCAGGAUUGAAUCCUGAUCCGAAUAUAGAAUUGUCUUUGUUACAUAGUGUUUUACUUGAUCUGAAUUUUUUAACGUGAAUCCAAUUUAUUUAAGGCAUCUCUAAGGAUAUUGAACAUCGAGGGGAAAAUUUAAAAUAUUUAAUUUUCUUGUUAUUUAAUAAAGUAAGGAAAACAAUGCAGAAAAAAGAAACAAUUUGUUCUUUUCUUUGUCUAAUAUUUUUUAAAAGUAUAAUCACAGAAGAAAUAAAAUUAAAGCAUGGGGGACAAAAGACUAAUAAUGUCAAAUCAUCACUUAUUUUUUGAUUUCUAAUGAACACUCUAGUCAGGGCUGAAAUCGAAAUUUUAUGAAAACAUCACAAUAUAAACAAAAAUAAACACAUGAGUAAAUUUUAAUGAUUCAAUAUAUGAUACAAUGUAGUAACUUUUUUCGACGAAGGAGAGUCAAUUAACACUCUUAGAUAAGGAUGGUUACAUCAUUAAUAUUCACGAUCACCAUUAGGGGCGGAUUUACCUUAAGCUCGCAAUGCCAUCUAGCUAUUAGUCAUGCAUGGAAAAUAAAUUUUCUUAUGCACAUGAUCAACUAAAUAAAUAUCGUAUUAUUUAGAAAAGAUUUAUAUAUAUAUAUGCAACAUCAACCAAAUAACUCACAAUCUCACAUGAUUAUUAAUCAGGGAAAAGAUUAAAUAAUUUUCGUCAUGUUGUGCAAAAAUAUAUAUUUCUAAUCUUAUUAAUAUUAGGUUAGGGGGGGAAACCGUUUUUUUGGGUUAUUUAUUAUUUCUAUCUAUAUUUUGUGUAUAUAUAUAAAAAAAAAUUAGCAUAAAAUAUAAACGUAUCCUUUAAUUUGGUCUCAACUGACAUCUAGCCCUCCAACUUUGGAUGUGCACAAGUAGAGACUUAAACUUGUAUAGAGUUGAACAAGUAGACACACUAAUCCUACAUGACAUAAUACGUGUAGGACCGCAUGUACGACACAAAUUAUCAUGUAGAACAUGUGUGUUUACUUAUUCUAUUAUAUAUAAAGUUAAGUGUUUACCAUUAGUACACAUUCAAAAUUAAAGGUUAUAAAUAUCGGUUAAGGUCAAAAUAAAAUAAUAUUUUCAUGUAUUAUACUUGUUUUUUUAGUAAGACUUUUCUUGAGUUAUAAAGCAAAUGAAGAGAGUUGGCCCCUCUUAUUUAACUUGAUACGUUGUACAUUAAAUACGUCAUUUAAAGUCUUUGAGUAUUGACCAAAUCCAAGAGUAUAUAUACACCACUAUUUCUAGAUAUUUUAGGAUAAGGUAGUCCUACAUGUUAGCAUAUUUUAAAUUACUUUUUUGCAUAACUGUCCAAAAAUAUACUAUUAACACGACGAUUUAUUAUCGAAAUAUAUAAUACCCAUCACAUGCAUAUUAUUUUUUAAAGUUAUUUUAAUGUUGUUUGAUUAUCUACUAAGUAUUAAUCUUUGUUUUUAGUUUGUUUUGUCGGACGGUGUACGUAAGCCACUUGGUCAUAUUGAUGUGAUAUAUUUACAAAUAUCUUUUCGAAAAAAUAAGUAAAUUUUUAUCUAUUCUUAUUUUUUUUAUAGGGAAAAAAGACUGAAAUAUAUACAAACUUUGGCCAUUCUACUUUUAAUAAUGGUGUUAUAGUAUUAACGUAUGUACUUGUGCCUCUCUACUUUUACUAAUGGUGUUUCGAUAUUUUUAACUUUUAAUUUGAUUAUUUUGAAUAUUUAAGAUUUGUAAAAUACAAACAAAUACAAUUUAUAAAUAUUAUGUUUUUUUCAUCUUAACAAAAUAUUACUUACGACUCCACCAUAAAAUCAACACUCUAUUUAUCUGCCACUUGUAGAGCAAGCUCAUUUCUUUGGUCCAUAAAAUAAUUGCAAUCCGUACAUGUGUCCCCUCACACCUCUAAUUAUUUAUGCAUUCAAAUCUUAUUAUAAAUGAGCCCAAACAUGCAUUAGUUUCUUCAUCCCUCAAUUUUCAUAUUUCAUAAGUACUAAGUUUUGAACAAAAGAAAAAUUAAAAAGAAUGGGUUCCAAGGCAAUUAUGUUUCUUGGUAUUUUUUUGGCUAUUUUCUUAAUGAUAAGCUCUGAGGUUGCAGCUAGGGAGUUGGCAGCUGAGACUUCCAAUGGUAAGCAUUUCUUCUCAUUUGUUCCCUCUCUUAGGGUGUGUUCGAUAAAAAAAAAUGUUUUUCAUGAAAUAUAUUUUGUAAGAAAAUAUGAAUGACUUCUUUAUUUACUUUUUUGUGUUCAAUAUUGUGAUAUAAUCUAGACAGAUAUAUAAUUGGUGGGGUUGGAUGGUGAGGGUGUGGGGAUGAGGAUGGGGGCGAAGAUAAAUAUGUUUGGUCAUAAAAUUUGUCUACUUUUUAAAAAUUAUUGGAAACCAAAUCCAAAAAUUUCAAUCACUAAUGCUAUAGUUUGAUCAUGACAUUUAAUAUACAUUCCUUUUGUUUCAUUUAAUAUAUGUCUCAAUUACAAGGCAUAAACCUUCCAAUCUUUGCUAAACUAAACUAAAGGUGUGUAAAUUAUAUUAUAAAUGUCCUACGAAUUUUGUGAUCUUUUGUUACAUUGAACUUAAAAAAUAUACAAUUAAAUAUAUAUAGGAAAAGGAGUACUCAUUUUGAAAUAUAAUAAAAAGGAAAGUACGACAUAUAAAUUGAAGCUCAAUUCAGAGACUAGUCAUGACUCAUCGUAUGUGUAAGCUAGUUUAAUUAAUCUUCACAAUUCAUCGAUGUAGCGGUCAACGUUGAUGGACAUUAUCAUGGUGGCGGCUAUGGUAAGGGCUAUGGAAAACCUAAAAAAUGUUAUAGUUGCUGCAAGAAAACCAAAUAUGGAUGCAAAAAAUACUGCUGCUCUUAUGAAGAAUAUGUGGCUGCCCAGACUCACAACUAAAUAAUUAAUUGUGUGUAUUAUUAUUGUAAACUUUUGAAAUUAAGUGACAAGAUAAUAAUAAUCUUGCUACUUAAGACCCUUUGCUUGUAACAAGUAUGAAUAAAGCCAUUCAUUUACUAUGAAUGGUUGGUCAUGAUGUAAUGUUUUGUUGUACAAUAUAUCAUAUUGUGUUAAAAAUGUUUCCCUAAUGUUAAGAUUUCCUUCUUAUUUUUACUUAAGUAUUCUAUCAUCCUUUAAUCAUAUGUUUCAGGAUUGAAUCCUGAUCCGAAUAUAAAAUCGUCUUUAUUACAUAGCUUUUACUCGAUCUGAAUUUUUUACCGUGAAUCCAAUUUAUUUAAGGCAUCUCUAAUUAAGGAUAUUGAACAUUGAGGGGAAAAAUUUAAAAUAUUUAAUUUUCUUGUUAUUUAAUAAAGUAAGGAAAACAAUGCAGAAAAAAGAAACAAUUUGUUCUUUUCUUUGUAUAAUAUUUUUUAAAAAUAUAAUCACAGAAGAAAUAAAAUUAUAGUAUGGGGGACAAAAGACUAAUAAUGUGAAAUCGUCACUUAUUUUUUUGAUUUCUAAUGAACACUCUAGUCAGGGCUGAAAUCGAAAUUUUAUGAAAACAUCACAACAUAAACAAAAAUAAACACAUGAGUAAAUUUUACUGAUUCAAUAUAUGAUACAAUGUUGUAGCUUUUUUCGACGAAGGAGAAUCAAUUAACACUCUUAGAUAAGGAUGGUUACAUCAUUAAUAUUCACGAUCACCAUUAGGGGCGGAUUUACCUUAAGCUCGCAAUGCCAUCUAGCUAUUAGUCAUGCAUGGAAAAUAAAUUUUCUUAUGCACACGAUCAACUAAAUAAAUAUCGUAUUAUUUAGAAAAGAUUUAUGUAUAUAUAUAUAUAUAUAUAUGCAACGUCAACCAAAUAACUCACAAUCUCACAUGAUUAUGAAUCAGGGAAAAGAUUAAAUAUUUUUCGUCAUGUUGUGCAAAAAUAUAUAUUUCUAAUCUUAUUAAUAUUAGGUUAGGGGGGUAAACCUUUUUUUGGGUUAUUUAUUAUUUCUAUCUAUAUUUUGUGUAUAUAUAUAUAUAAAAAAAUUGCAUAAUAUAUAAACGUAUCCUUUAAUUUGGUCUCAACUGACAUCUAGCCCUCCAACUUUGGAUGUGCACAAGUAGAGACUUAAACUUGUAUAGAGUUGAACAAGUAGACACACUAAUCCUACAUGACAUAAUACACAUAGGACACCAUGUACGACACAAAUUAUCAUGUAGAACAUGUGUGUCUACUAGGGGUGUACAUGGCCGGGUUGGUUCGGGUUUUUCAAAUAUCAAACCAACCCAUUUGUGUCGGAUUUUUAAAUUUAUAAACCAAACCAAACCAAUAAAACUCGGGUUUUUCAACCUCGGGUUUUUUCGGGUUUUUCGGUUUUUCGGGUUGUUUCGGGUUUUUCCGGUAAAGUAUUCAUACGAACAUAUAAUUUACUUGUACUUCAAAUAUUUCUUUAGUCCUACCAAAAUACAACUAUCUAAGAUGUUUCUUAAAAAUAUAACACAAUAUAAUAUGAUAAUGACACUAAAAUAUCCAACAAAAAUAAUAAUAAUGAAAUCGCGUAAAACAAAUAUUGCAAAUUAACAAGUCAUAAUGAAAAUGAUCAUAAUUUAAAAGUACUAAAUCAUGCUAAAAUAAGUUUAAUAAGUAUUAGUUACAUUACUAAAUANNNNNNNAAAAAUAAUAAUAAUGAAAUCGCGUAAAACAAAUAUUGCAAAUUAACAAGUCAUAAUGAAAAUGAUCAUAAUUUAAAAGUACUAAAUCAUGCUAAAAUUAAGUUUAAUAAGUAUUAGUUACAUGACUAAAUAUUAAAGAAAAUUAAAAUUAGAUUAUGUAUUUUAAUUGUCUAAACCAAUGUAAAACUAAAGAACAAAUAUUCAAUAUUAUUGUCAUUCUUAGUGUUGAAUUGAUUUUCUUUUUGCAUUAGUAUUAAUUUGAUUUUGAUUUAAGCUUUAUUAUAAUUACCAACAUAUGUGGACUAUAAUCUUUAUUGGCCCAUUCAUAAUUCUAAGUUUCAAACUUGAAAUAAUAUAUUAAAUAUUAAAAACUAUGGAAAAGUAUAAGAAAUAUUUUAAAAUUAUAUCAAAGUAAAUAUUUUUAUGUAUAAAAUAAAAUUUUAAAAUUAUAUAUAUAAAUUCGGGUUGGUUUGGUCUCGGGUUGGUUUUUUUUAGUUAAAACCAAACCAACCCAAAUAUAGUCGGGUUUUUUUUUUCAAAACCAAACCAAGUCAAACCAAACCACUAGUCGGGUUUUUUUUUCGGGUUGACUCGGUUUGCGGUUUGGUUCGGUUCUCGGUUCGGUUUUGUACACCCCUAGUGUCUACUUGUUCUAUUAUAUAUAAACUUAAGUGUUUACACAUUCAAAAUUAAAGGUUAUAAAUAUCGAUUAAGGUCAAAAUAAAAUAAUAUUUUCAUGUAUUAUACUUGUUUUUUAGAAGACUUUUCUUGAGUUAUAAAGCAAAUGAAGAGAGUUGGCCCCUCUUAUUUAACUUGAUACGUUGUACAUUAAAAGAGUCAUUAAAUACGUCAUUUUAAGUCUUUGAGUAUUGACCAAAUCCAAGAGUAUAUAUACACCACUAUUUCUAGAUAUUUUAGGAUAAGGUAGUCCUACAAGUUAGCAUAUUUUUAAUUACUUUUUUGCAUAACUAUCCAAAAAUAUACCAUUAACACGACGAUUUAUUAUCGAAAUAUAUAAUACCCAUCACAUGCAUAUUAUUUUUCAAAGUUAUUUUAAUGUUGUUUGAUUAUCUACUAAGUAUAAAUCUUUGUUUUUAGUUUGUUUUGUCGGUCGGUGUACGUAAGCCACUUGGUCAUAUUAAUGUGAUAUUUACAAAUAUUUUUUCGAAAAAAUAAGUAAAUUUUUAUCUAUUCUUAUGUUUUUUUAUAGGAAAAAAAGUUUGAAAUAUAUCCGAACUUUGAUCAUUCUACUUUUACUAAUGGUGUUAUAGUAUUAACGUAUGUACUUGUGCCUCUCUACUUUUACUAAUGGUGUUUUGAUACUUUUAACUUUUAAUUUGACUAUUUUGAAUAUUUAAGAUUGUAAAAUACAAACAGAUACAAUUUAUAAAUAUUAUGUUUUUUUCAUCUUAACAAAAUAUUACUUACGACACCACCAUAAAAUCAACACUCUAUUUAUCUACCACUUGUAGAGCAAGUUCAUUUCUUUGGUCCAUAAAAUAAUUGCAAUCCGUAUUGUGUCCCCUCACACCUCUAAUUAUUUAUGCAUUCAAAUUUUAUUAUAAAUAGAGCCCAAAAAUGCAUUAGUUUCUUCAUCCCUCAAUUUUCAUAUUUCAUAAGUACUAAGUUUUUGAACAAAAGAAAAUUAAAAAGAAUGGGUUCCAAGGCAAUUAUGUUUCUUGGUCUUUUUUUGGCUAUUUUCUUAAUGAUAAGCUCUGAGGUUGCAGCUAGGGAGUUGGCAGCUGAGACUUCCAAUGGAUGUGCACAAGUAAGGACUUAAACUUGUAUAAAGUUGAGCAAGGAGACACACUAGUCCUCUGUGACAUAAUACACAUAGGACACCAUGUACGACACAAAUUAUCAUGUAGGACAUGUGUGUCUACUUGUUCAAUUAUAUAUAAACUUACGUGUCUACCAUUAGGUCCAUUACACAUCUAAAAUUAAAGGUUAUAAAUAUCAAUUAAGGUCAAAAUAAAACAACAUUUUCAUGUAUUAUACUUUGUUUAGAAGACUUUUCUUGAGUUAUAAAGCAAAUGAAGAGAGUUGGCCCCUCGUAUUUAACUUGAUACGUUGUACAUUAAAAGAGUCAUUAAAUACGUCAUUUAAGUCUUUGAGUAUUGACCAAAUCCAAGAGUAUAUAUACACCACUAUUUCUAGAUAUUUUAGGAUAAGGUAGUCCUACAAGUUAGCAUAUUUUAAAUUACUUUUUUGCAUAACUAUCCAAAAAUAUACUAUUAACACGACGAUUUAUUAUCGAAAUAUAUAAUAUAUAUCCAUCACAUGCAUAUUAUUUUUUAAAGUUAUUUUAAUGUUGUUUGAUUAUCUACUAUUAAUCUUUGUUUUUAGUUUGUUUUGUCGGUCGAUGUACGUAAGCCACUUGGUCAUAUUUAUGUGAUAUAUUUACAAAUAGGUUUUUUGAAAAAAUAAGUGAAUUUUACGCCACAAAAAAAGUGUGAAUUACAUAGAAAUUUUCCUGGAAAUUAGUAUGAGAAUCUGCAGGAAACUUAUUUUCUUGUAAAUUUUCAUAUUAAUCCCCAGAAAAAUCCUCGUGGAAUUCACACUUUUCUUAUAGUGUUUUAUUUAUUUUUAUGUUUUUUAUAUGUAGGCAAAAAGUAUAAUCUCAAAAUCAUUUAUAUAUAAUUAGAAUAACUAUUAUAACAAGAGAGGUAGGGGUUAGGGAAGGUAGGGAUCAAGAUGAAAUAUACUGUGUAGGAGGAUGGAAAGGACAUUAUCAAUAAUUUGGAAUAUCACCUGCAGAACUUAUUUUAUCUAUACUUUCGAUUUUUUAUUGGAGAAAUCAUUUUCCUCAUUAAUAAAAAAAAAAAAUUAUUUUUUUAGAGAAACAAAUAUAUUUGGAUGCUUAGUGUGAAAGCAAGACUGAAUAAUAUUGAUAAGUCAACUGACAAGUGACAUUUUGACAUGUUAUGAUGCAUUAUUGUUAGUUAUUGUCACUUAUGCUUUAAUUUGUGGACUAGAAACCGCAUGCACCUACGUACUAUAAAAGAUUGCCACGAACUUUAUUUAUAAAGAAAAAUUACAUAAUAUAUAAGAGAUUAUCAUGAUUAUGACAUUUAAUCGAUUUGAAAUUAUGAAUAAAGAUUAAUGGAGGGUUGUGAAGAUAUAGAAGCUACUAUUUACGUCUGUAUUAGCUAUAAUAUUUUAUGAUACUUGUUUUAAAUAUCCAUAAAUAAUAUACCAAGUUAAAAUUUUACUUUAAAAAAUUAUGAUAUAAUUUUUAAAUUUAAAAUUUUCAAGUGAUUCAUUUGGUAGUUUGAGCAGUAAUGGAGGGUGGUUGGGUGUGGGGUGUGGGCGGGAGGAGGUCUAAGAAGACCUAGUCAACUUAAUUGAUUAGUGAGUGAUUGACAUUUUGCCACUUGGAAUUAUUAAUAAGUCAACUAAUAAGUCAUUCACCUUUAAUUUAUCGAACAAUAAAUAGCAACAAUAACAUGGCAUUUAAUUAGUCGCUGUUAUAUACUCUUCCAAACUCUAUCUAUUAUCUAUUCACUUUGUCCUAUUUUUCUUUUAUUCAACUUUACAUUAAUAGUGUAUUUAGUAGGUAAAAAAGCAUUUUAUAUAAUUUUUUAGAUUGAAAAAUAUUAUUUCAAUAAUAUUUAUAUAUAUAGUUCGAUAAUACAAGGAUGGAGGUAAAAUGGACUCAUCGUGUGCGUAUGGAGGGUGGGGGGUGGAAGUGGGCUUUUUGGGAGCCGGGGUCGAUGUGAGUGGGCAAGGGGAUGCAACGGUGGAGAGAGGACAAUCAAGAUUUUAUGUCAUUUAUAAAAUUUAUUUUUCAUAUUUUUACGAGAAAAGUCAUGAUUUAAGUUUCACAUAUAAGUCACAUUAAAUUAACUUGAUAAUUUUAAAAAUCAUUACGUUAUCAGUACAUAUAACUUAAAUGUUUUCUAUCAAGAUUUUCAGGAUAAGGUUUGUCCUACAAGUUGAGCAAAUAUUUUAUUUAAUUAUUGCAUAAUAAUCUGACAAUACAUCAACAUUUAAUGUACAAUUUCCCCACAAGAGCCGUCGUCUACUAAUUUGUUGCCAAAAGGAUUUUGGAGAUCUUAUAAUGAUGUGUACAAAAUAUUUAGAGGAAUUUUUGAGAUUAGUGGUUAACAAAAAUUAAUCUUAGAAUAAAAGUUAGCUAAUUUGCAAUUUGGCAAGCCUGGCUAGAGGGUCGAAGUGCGCAAAUAUCCGAUUUUGAGAUUAUCAUUUCCAGGCGUACUACAUAAAAAAUUUGCAAAGUCUAUCCAUUUUUUAGAAUAAUUUCAAACAUGUAGGGUUUGAAGUUAGGCUUGAUGAAACUAAAAUUCAAACAAAAUGUUUUAAGUUUUAUACGGUUGAGGCUCAAACACAUAUGAUGUGAUUAUAUAAAUUACUUUUAAACUAACGAUAUAUAUAAUGAGCCCAAUAAUUGUGAAUUCUUUACCUUCUUCACCUGCCAAAAGCACAUCCCAUAAAUGCACCUCUCACACCUCCAAAUAAUGUUCUUUCCCUACCAUUUGUAAUACAUUCAAAUCUUACUAUAUAUAGAGACCAACUAUACAUAAGCUUCACCAUCCUAUAAUUUCAAGUAUCAUAGUAAGUUUAGUGGGUAAAAUGGGUUCUAAGACAUUUAUGUUCCUUGGCCUUUUUUUGGCCAUUUAUGUAAUGAUAAGCUCUGAGGUUGUAGCUAAAGAGUUGAGUGAGACUUCAGAAGAGAAGUGUAAGAAUCCUCUCAUUAUUUGUUCCUUUUGUGGUUGUGUUUGGUACCAAGGAAAAUGUUUUCGGUGAAAAAUAAUUUAUUAGAAAAUAUUUUCUUUGAAACAUAAACGUACUUAUUAUAAUAUUAUUUAAGGUACAUAUAUAUUUUACCCGUAAGAACGUAUGUUUUUAUAAUCAUAAAAAUGUCAUCACAUAUUCGAGAUCACAAAUUUUUAAAAUAGGUUAAUGGCAUAACAUUCUUGUUUACACAAUUGAUACAGCAAAGAAAUCCAAUAACAAGAAUGUAGUACAUGAAGACCAAUUUGGUGGCGGAUACCCCGGCGGUGGCGGUGGAUACCCUGGCGGUGGCGGUGGAUACCCCGGUGGUGGUGGUGGAUACCCUGGUGGUGGUGGUGGCGGCUACCCUGGUGGUGGCCGCGGUGGUGGUGGCUACCCUGGCGGCGGUCGUGGUAGAGGCGGAUAUCCCGGUGGCGGCCGCGGGGGAUACCCUGGUGGUGGUCGCGGACGUGGUGGAUACCCCGGCGNNNNNNNNNNNNNNNNNNNNNNNNNAUGAAGACCAAUUUGGUGGUGGAUACCCCGGCGGUGGACGUGGUGGCGGUGGAUACCCUGGCGGCGGACGUGGCGGUGGUGGUGGUGUAGGAUACUGUCGCAAUGGUUGUUGCAACGGCAAUAACUAUGAGUGCUAUAGUUGCUGUUAAUUAUGGGGAGCAAUAAAUAUUUGUAAUGGCAAAGAUGUAAUACUAGUGAUUAAAACUUUUGCUAAAUUAAUUUAAUUUCUACAACUUUUUGUAAGAAUUAUGAAAUUAAAAGUCAUCAUGUAUGUAACGUUUGUUAAUUAUGCUAUGCUGUGAGACAAUAUUUUCCCUAAUUUGGUGUUUCUUUCUCAAUUAUUUAAUCAGAUAUUAUGUCGUUCAAUUUGAAGAGUGAUAAGUUGAAAUUAUGGUAUUAAUCGAAAAUUUAUGAAAAAAGAGAAGUCAAUUGAGAUAUUAAUAUGAUAUAUAAUUGCGACAUUAUUUUGAAAAUUGAAGUCGUAAGCUUUUACUCUAUAUAUCAUACCAAUUUACUAUGACGAAUGCUAUCGAAAUCAAACUUAAAACUAUGAUUACACCAAAUUAGUUAAUUUGAUAUGAUAGUAUAGUAUUUUUGAAAAUCGAGAAUCGAAAUUUUCAAUAUCAUGAACACCUAGACUAAAGGAAUUUGGUAAAUCCAAUUUUGACUAUAAUCUAUAUAUCCUUAUAAAUAAACCAAAGAACGACAAAAUUAAUGCCACCAUAUAUUAUAGUAAGUAAUCCCACAUAACAUUAAUUCUCAGUAAGGCGUGAAAAUCUUCAUAUUAUUACCAAUGGUAUAAUAUAAUAAUAAACUGAAUUAUCAAGAUUGAUCAGAAUUCUUUAGACUCUGAUCUUCAGACGUAAUACACAGAGACGAACAAAAUUCUCCAGAUUCUGAUCUUCAGACAUAAUACACAGAUGACUUCUCCAGAUUCUGAUCUUCAGAUGUAAUACACAUAUGACUUCUUUAAAGUUUUAUCACCCGCUUUGAUACCAUGAAGAUAUUCACUAUGAAUUAUAAGAACAAUAGAAUUGGAAAAGAAGAAAGUAUUUGUUAUUUUUCCUUUUUAAGCAGUAGUUAUACAAUGACUAAAUCCUAUGUAUUUAUAUUUUCCUUACUAACUAACUUACCUAACUUUUUGGUAACUACCUUCUAACUAACUUCUUGAAGUAGUCCUAACUAACUCUAAACACUCUCCUUCUUUUUUAACUAUCUCAUUACAAACACUCUGAGGUUGGAAGAGGGGUGGAUGAAGGUGAGGGGGAUGGAGGGAGGGGGGGGGUUGAGAGCCGGUCGGAGACUGGGUUUCGAGAGGAGGUGUGGUGCAUGGUAGGAUAGGGACGUAGAGACGAGGGUGAACUAAAGAGAGACAAUCAACUUAGAAUAACACUAAUAUAAAAUUUAUUUUUUCUAAUUUUCCAUCAUGUAUACCAUUUUUAGAGAAUAUAAGUCACUUACUUUUUUUUGAUAAAAUAUUUUUAGAAAAUUUUGACAAUGAACACAAAAGAGUCACAUGACUAUGUCUAUUGCAAUGCAAUAUAUUAUAUUCAUUUUUGUAUGAUAUAAUAUACCAUUUCCACACAAGAGCCGUCGACUACUUUGCUAACAAAAGAUUUUGGUGAUCUUAUAAUGUGUCCAAAAUGGAUAAUGAACCCACAUAAAUACGUACAGUUGAGUAAUAAUGUUUUGUAUUUUUGAAGGUCUGAACUCCUCUAGUAGACCUUCUAUUCACCACUGUCUGAGGAUCAUUAGACAUACAAUCCUGUCCUUGAACUGUUUCCUCCACUGUAUCUUGUUCAAUAUUAUCAGUCAAGUUUCUGUCUAAUUAUGUAUCACAUUGAGUUUCUUGUACAUACCUAUGAUUAAAUUUGUUCUUGUCACUCAUGUUAUCAUAGCCUAACUUUCAUUCUACAUUCAGCAUAUCAUUAUCCAAAUGAUUUACAAACGGACCUUUUUCACUUUUAUCUAAAACAGUUAAGAAAGGAAAGACCGACUCUCUGAAUAUCACAUCUCUACUCACAAAGAAGCUUUUGGAAGUCAAAUCUAACAAAAUAUAACCCUUUUGAGUUUCUGAGUACCCCAUAUGUACUGCAGCCUUUGUCCUGGAUGCUAGUUUAUCACUUUCAGUUAACAAUUUAGCAUAGCAUAAACAACCUAAUAUUCUAAUAUGAGAUAUCAUUGGCUUAACACCAUACAUCAUUUCAUAUGGAGAUUUACCUCCCAGAACUCUGCUAGGUAUUCUGUUUAUCAAGUAAGCAGUUGCAAGUAUACACUGACCCCAAAACCUUAUAGGAAUAUGGCCCUGAAACCUUAGCGCUCUAGUCACCUCUAAUAGAUGUCUAUGCUUCCUUUCAGCCACUCCAUUUUGCUGUGGAGUAUAAGGACACGAUCUUUGAUGUACUAUACCUCUUUCUUUAAACAAGGUAGCACAUAUAGCAUUCAUAAAUUCAGUUCCAUUAUCAGACCUUACCUUCAUUACCACUUUGUCAAAUUGUGUCUUGACAAACUUCAGAAAAUAAUCUAAAGCUACACACACAUCUGCUUUACUUUUUAAUAGAAAUAACCAACUCAUCCUUGAGAAAUCAUCAACUACUGUGAGAAAAAAUCUAUUACCAUCAAAAGUUGCCUGUUUGUAUGGACCCCAUACAUCCAAAUGAAUCAAAUCAAAAAUUUGACUACUUUUAAUACUACUAACAUGAAACAUAUUUCUAGUUUGUUUUGCACAAGGACAUACAGUACACUCAUUUAGCACUUUAUUCACUACUUCUGAAUUAACAGGAAAAACUUUACUCAACAUUUGUGCAGAUCCAUGUCCUAGCCUUUUGUGACAUACAUUCAAUUCCUUUUCUGAUAACUGUUGUAUCUCUAGCUUCUUUUCAGGUACAACAAAUGACUGGUGCUUUAAUUGAUCUUUUGAUAAAUUCCUUAGCAGUAGGUACAAACCAUCCUCCUCUUUUACCAACUUCCCUCACCUUGCCAGUGUAAAGCUCCUGAAACACACAAAAAUGAGGGAAGAAAGUGACUGAGCAAUUUAACUCCUUAGUCACCUUACUCACUGAUAGCAAGUUGUACUUGAACUCUGGUAUGUGAUAAACAUUUGUAAUCACACUUCUUGGAGAUAUGUUACAUAAUCAUGUAUGAGACACAUAUGACACUUCCCCAGUAGGUAAAUAUAUAGGUUUUGGCUCUUUAACCCUGAUAACAGACUCACUAGUAAGCAUAUCCAAGUUUAAUACCAUAUGAUUAGAUUCCCCAGUAUCUACAAUCCAGACCUGACUAUUUUCAGAAAUUAACAAGACUUUACCUGCAAUAUUAGCCUGAGUUUCAUGCGCAUGGCUUGAAUCUUCUGAUUUCUGUCCACCUUCUUGAUUCUGCUUCAACAUUUGAAGAAUUUGACUAUACUGAUCUUUGGUGAAAUUACAUCCUUGUAACUGGUUUGAACAUUCCUCUAUAUUACUCAUAUGAUUUUUCACAGGUACAUUAGUGUUACCUCCAUAGUUGAAAGAAACUCUACCAGACACAUCCUCAUAAUCAUCCUUUUUUGUGUUGUUAACAUCAUUUCCAACCAUGUAAGCUCCAGUUCCUGUACUGAUAUUCACUUUCCUUUUUGACUUGAAAUCAGAUGGAGUUUUAGAUAAUCCGAGACUCAAGUCUUAGUUUAUCUUGAAUGUUGAGCAGAAACACUAGUAAUUUAUUAUUUUUCCAGAAAAAUUACCAAUAAUUAGAUGUAGUUCUUUCAACUUAACUCAAUUUGAAGUUGUUUUAAAUUCCAAGCACUUUUAAUGAACGUCAAAGUUUAUGAACUUCAUACAGUUUGCAACAUUUGUUAUACUAAUCCCUCUUCAAUUGGUGUUAAGGGUGCUUCAUAGAUUGUAGAGAGGCUAAAGAUUAUGCUAUAUAGUGGACCCAUAUAUUAUCCUUGAUGUAAUCUUUUACUGAACUUCAAAUCUAUACUUUUGCUUUUCCCACACUCUGUUAGUCUUAUUUGUGUGGCCGCAAUGGUAAAUCGCUAUUUGAAGUUAUAUGCUUGUGAAUUUUGAUACCGAAGUAGUUUCUACCAGUCUAGCUAAUCUGGUUUUCUUCGUUUGCUCUUAUUUUGUGGUGAACAGAGUAUAGAAGCUUUGUUAUGCUUUUUGAAUAGUCAAAAAAUUUGAUUGCACUCAUCCUUUACAAUCUUUAGAACAAUGAAUCAGUAUCUGCUAUUACGCUCACCUUUGUACCCUUUCUGGACAACUUAUGCAUAUUGACACUUUACCAGUACUAACCAAAUCAAGAGGGUUUUAAAUAUGAUAGGUACUUUCCGUCUUUGAAUAGUGUUACACUCUCAUAUGAUAGAGUUAUUGGAAGACAUCUCAUAGGCUAUGAAUGAUAGCUUUGAUCUACACUCUUGAGUCUUGGUUGUGCUAAAGCAACAACAAAAAUAUGCUUUAAAAAUACGUGGUCGAAAAAGUUACUUUUUUACUAUGAAGUUGUCAUAUAAAUCUACUGAUCUAUAAAAGUGUGAACACAGAGAGGAUUCAAAGAUAUUACAGUAAUCAGCCUUAGUGUAUAGGCUUCUAAAGUGCCAUUAUAUUUUCAAGGGAAAAAUGACAAAUAUACCCCGAACUAUCGUAAAUGGUAUGCAGAUAUCCUCCGUCAUACUUUUGGGACAUUGGUGUCCCUGCCGUCCAAAAACAAUAGCAUAUAUGCCCUUCACUCUAACGAAAGACUAAAUAGGGACACGUAUCCGUCGAUCUGAUAUUUAAUGAAUGUCGGUCGGUGGAUAAGAUUAUGACACGUGUGUAUGUCCGUUAGUAUAAAGGGUAUAUAUGCUCUAGUUUUUGGACGGCAGGGGCACCAAUGUCCCAAAAGUAUAACGGAGGGUAUCUGAAUACCAUUUACGAUAGUUCGGGGUAUAUUUAUCCUUUUUCCCUAUUUUCAAUCAUAAUUAGCCUACGGGGUUGUCAUUGAAAAACUCACACUUCAUAUUAUCUUUGAAGUAGACUAUCUUAAGAAAACAAUCUGCUCAACAUGUUUGAAGCACCAUAAGCAUUUAUGGUAUUAUCUAUUCCAAGCAGGUAAUAAUAACAUCUUGUUUUACUACUGCAACACCUUUAUGGUAAAUUACAAAUUAACAAUUAUAACUACUGAAUCUUUUUUGCGUUUUGCUAGGUGUGUGGUUGUAUAAUAAACUUAUUUUUUUAUAGAGUAAAAAGGAAAUAUAAUUUUUUUUAUUUGAAUGUGAAACAUACAACUCUAAUAUUGACCAUUUAAUGUGCGAGUUAUAGCACCUCUACUUUCAUCAAUUAUUUAUGGCUCAGUUACAUCGGCUAAAGCUUGGCAAAGAGUUGUAACGAUUGCUGGUUCCAUUACUACUGUUCCACACCUCUAUUUCUACAAUAUGUCCAGCAUUUGAACUUGCAAUUCCUUUUGACAUGUUGCUGGAAAGAUUGUGAGUUCUUUUUUUUUUUGAAAGAUGCAUGGAUGAACAUAUUUGGGAGUUAAAAGGGACCCUUUGUGAGUUGUAAUUUUUUUUUUAUUAAGAUGGUAACAUAUUUUUGUUGAUUGACUGCUUAGUUGAGGUCUCUUAUUAAUUGGCAAUCCAAUCCUUUUCUCCACUAAUUCAUGAAUCUUUUAUAUUCGAUUACUAGUGGAUAAUAAGAUCAUUUUAUUGUUGUAGCCAAUGAAAGCACGAAGAUACUGAUUCAGGAGUUUUGUGAAUUGGUUGAACCUUUUAGUGCUUAUCCCAGGUUCUAACAUGAAAAUCUUGUGCCUCAUCUUUCAUGAAUUUACUUGGUAGCGUCGCACCACUCAAUCUAAAAUUCUAAAUUGUUGUGGUUCAAUAUAUAGUGCUAGUUCCUGCCGUUAAGUUGUUUGUCUUUCACCCUAUAUAUGUCAUGUGGAGUUACCUAUAUUUCCUAUGUAAUGAAACAAUGUUUUGCGGAUCUAUAAUAAACAUAACUUCCUAUUUUUUUAGCAAAUCCUCAUCUAGAUACAUAGACAUUUCUGAUGGUAGACGAAGCUACAUCAACUUGAACUAAAUCUCUAAUAACACAACUGCAGUAAACUUAAUUCUAUACUUUUGCUUUUCCCACUUUGGUUAGUCUUAUAUUUGUGUGGAUGCUAGGGUAAAUUGCUAUUGCUAUGAUUAUACUUGUUAAAGAAUGACAAAAGUCCCAUAUCGGUGAUUAAUGAGAUGGGUGGACUCCUUAUAAGGCUUGGGCAAUCCUCCUCCCUUUGAGCUAGCUUUUGGGGUGUGAGUUAGGCCUAAGACCUAAUUUAACAAUACUUGAAGUUGUAUGUAUGCUUGAGAAUUAUGAUACUUAAGUAGUUUUUACUAGAAAUCAAGAGAAAUUAACUUCUUUUUUAUUUAGAUACUUCUUGAUUGUUAUUUUUUCAGACAAGUCACACUUCUUGCAAUGUUUUGAUACUUUACAUCUCAUCUUUUGAUGCAUUUGUUUUUUUAUUCCAGGUCAUAUAAUCUAAAGUCCUCAAAUUUCAAAUUUGGGAGAUUUCAAUAUGAAGAAGAGGUGCAAAACUUAUGUGAAAACAUUAUUCAAUAGGAUAGAUAUAUACAAACAAUAUAAGUUUAAUUUUAUACGUUGUGACAUUCAUAUUUUGGAUUAGUACUUCCUUUUAUUUGUCUAGAUUUUAUGAUAUAUAUUCUAUUUUAUGAAUUAAUAAUAGUAUAUGUUUUUUGCAUUUGUCAAACUUUGUUGUUACUAUCUGGUGCUCUUUUGCCAACAAGUUUGUUGAAUUUGUAUAUAUACAUUUUCUCGACCAAUGUAGUAAUUAUUAUUAAUGUUGGCUAUAAAAUUGUCGUUAAAGGUUAUAAUAUUUAGCGUCAAUCUAAUAAAUUUAUUGAUCAUAAAAAUGGACACUGAAAAGGCAAACUAAUUUUUUUUAGAAGGGAUAUUGUAGCCAUUACUUGCCAUAGUAAAUUGUCGUUAAAAUUACUACCUUGUGGCUAUUUAAUUGGAUUUAUCUACUAAAACAAUAGAUGCUAAAAACAAUAGUUAGUCGAUAUUAACUACCUAUAGCAGUUAACAUAAUUGCCACAAACAAUUGCCGUUAAAACAAAUACUUUUAGUGGCUAUGUAUUUUGAUUUAUCGACUAAAACAAUGGACACUAAAAUUAGAUCAUAGUUAGUUGAUAUGAAUUACCUUUAGCAACCAACAUAUGUGCCACAAACAAUUACCAAUAAAAACACUACCUUUUAGUGGCUAUUUAUUUAGAUUUAUCGGCUAAAACAAUGGACGCUAAAAACUCAUAGUUAGUCAUUAUGAAUUACCUUUAGCAGCCAACAUAAUUGCUACAAACAAUUGCCAUAAAAGCUAAUGAUUUGUAGCGGCAAUUCAUGCUACCCUUUACCAGCAUUUCCCACAAUGGUCGGGAAAGCCUUUGCUGACCCCUACAUUACCGGCUAAAGACAAUUCACCGGUAUAGGUUAUCGUGGCAAAUGUUAUUGCCGCUAAAGUCAUGUUUUAUUGCCACUAAAUGACCCUUUUGUAGUAGUGUUUGUAAAGUAUACAGACACAGAAUCUGUACCCUGUUGCAAGGUUGCAAUUUCUUUGUGUAGACUGAAGGUUCUUGAUCCAUCUAAUUGAUCAAACCUUUCUUUUAAGUCAUUCCACACAGCUUGAGCUGAUGAUGCAAAAGCUACUCCUCCUAGCAAACUCUUUGACAUAGAAUUUAGAAGCCAUGAGAGAACAAUGACAUUCACCCUUUCCCACUGAACUCUUAAUUCUGCACUUACAUCUUCUUGUUUACACGAUCCAUCUACCAAACCAUUCUUGUUUCUUCCAAGUAAUGCCAAUCUAAUCGACCUACUCCAUAAAGCAUAGUUCUCAAUUCCAAUAAGCUGGAAUGAAAUCAGAUUAACCCCACUGAUAUCAGCAGGACUCAAGAACAGAGGAUGACUAUAAUCAACCCCUUGACUCAUCGACAUAGCUGGAAUAGAGCUUGGAUUUCCAGAAAUUCCACCAACACUACUGGUUCCAGUUGUCUGUUCACCAGUUACCCCUUGAGUCAUGCUUGUAAUCUUUCUUCUUUUUCAAAUUGAUUUCCGGAAGCUAAACUGAAUUAUCAAGACGAUCAGAAUUCUUUAGACUAUGAUCUUCAGACGUAAUACACAGAGACGAACAAAAUUUUCCAGAUUCUGAUCUUCAGACGUAAUACACAGAUGACUUCUCCAGAUUCUGAUCUUCAGAUGUAAUACACAGAUGACUUCUUUAAAGUUUUAUCACCCUCUUUGAUACCAUGAAGAUAUUCACUAUGAAUUAUAAGAACAAUAGAAUUGGAAAAGAAGAAAGUAUUUGUUAUUUUUCCUUUUAAAGCAGUAGAUAUACAAUGACUAAAUCCUAUGUAUUUAUAUUUUCCUUGCUAACUAACUUACCUAACUUUUUGAUAACUACCUUCUAACUAACUUCUUGAAGUAGUCCUAACUACCUCUAAACACUCUCCUUCUUUUUUAACUAUCUCAUUACAAACACUCUGAGGUUGGAAGAGGGGUGGAUGAAGGCGAGGGGGAUGGGGGAUGGAGGGGGGGGUGUUGAGAGCCGGUCGGAGCUUGGGUUUCGAGAGGAGGUGUGGUGCAGGUAGGAUAGGGACGUAGAGACGAGGGUGAACUAAAGAGAGACAAUCAACUUAGAAUAACACUAAUAUAAAAUUUAUUUUUUCUACUUUUCCAUCAUGUAUACCAUUUUUAGAGAAUAUAAGUCACUUACUUUUUUUUAUAAAAUAUUUUUAGAAAAUUUUGACAAUGAACACAGAAGAGUCACAUGACUAUGUCUAUUGCAAUGCAAUAUAUUAUAUUCAUUUUUGUAUGAUAUAAUAUACCAUUUCCCCACAAGGGCCGUCGACUACUUUGCUAACAAAAAGAUUUUGGUGAUCUUAUAAUGUGUCCAAAAUGGAUAAUGCACCCACAUAAAUACGUACAGUUGAGUAAUAAUGUUUUGUAUUUUUGAAGGUUUGAUUCAGGGCCGGCUCUAUGCUUUGGCAAAUAAGGCUUUUGCCUUUGGGGGUCGCAAAUUUUAUCAAGAAUAAAUUAUGUGUUAAAAUUUCUAUAGAACUAAUUGAUUAUUUAUGAUAAAAAGUUUAAUUUUUUUUAAAUAUAUUAUUUUACCCACUUUAACAUUUUUUAUACUUUGUUAAAAAUAAGAAUUAAUAGUGAAAAGUGUUGAACAAAGUGAAUUGCAAUUUUUUUUUAAUUUCUUUUUUAAUUUUAGUUUCAGGCAUUACUACAACAAUAUUAAAAUGGGUAUACCAAGUGAUCAUCAACUUCUUGCAUCAAAUUCUAUGGUUCUAACUCUUAUCUUUAUUUAAUAUUUGUCAACUUAUUACUUAUAUAAGUAUGUUAACAAUUCAUAUAAUAAUUGCCUCACUGAAAGGAUGUUUUUCAAUGUUGAGUUGAUAAAAUCUUACCUAAAACUAAUUACUGAAAAAACAAUAUCAAAAUACUAAUAAUUUUCAUCUAAAUAAUGUAAGAAAAAUAAAUUUUGAAUAAAUACGUACAUGAAGUUUGUUUAUAUUUUAGGCCCAGAAUCGAAAUUUCGCUUUAGGCCCCCAAUCACGUUGAGCUGCCCUUGGUUUGAUUGGAUUUAAUCAUUGAAAAUUAUUGAGAUUGAUAUUAGUAGGUUCAAUGUCAAAUUUAAUUCCCUGUUCAUCUAUCAGAAACUUUUGGAUAAUAUAUUCUAAAAUUAAAAUACAAUUUUUAUACUAAAAUCACGAUAAUCUGUCCGAUAGAUGUCUUUAUCUGUCGAUCCAAAUUUAAAGAUAUCAAAUUAGACUUUUAUGGAGAUAAAUAUGUAUCAGUUUAAUUUGUUACAUGUAAGUUUAACUUAAAUAUAAUGCAACAAAUUAUAUAUAGUACUUGUAAUGUGUAUGAAUGAAAUCUUCACUAAAUUUCUUCAGCUGCCGACUGAAUAUUGGUCCACACAUUAAUUCCAUAAAUACAUGUUCCCGCUCUAGGGGGGGAUCUAGAGUAUCGGACGUAAAUUUUUAGAAACGUAAUAAUUUUUACAUAAAUCUUAUAUUUAUAUUAAAAAAUCUAUUAAAUAUAUAAAAAAUAUUUCUUCAAAAUCUAAUAAAAAAAUAAAUUCUUAGUUUGAUGGUAGAAAUGAAACCUACUUAACCUUCUUUAUCAUGAUUCGACCCAUACCUCAGACCUAAGAUCGAGCACCAGAGCUGCUCAUAACAACGUACCAAAAAGAAGAAUGCGAGAAGUUCAUAUUCUCCAGAUUCUACUAUAAAUCAGGUAGUGAGGAUGAAAAAAGCAUAAGCUACCUCGUUCGUGCUCCCGUCUUUCCCGCUGCCAUCUUUGGUGGAUGCGCCCCUUCACUUAAAGGCGGCCAAACCAACCCACUGAGCCAACCUUUUAGAUUGAAUAAAGUUACUAAGAUCUUUAAAAAUCCAUAAACUUUAAAUUCUGAAUUUGCUUCUGUCCGCUACAUCCAAAUAAUACUCUCUCUUCAAUCAUUAUAUCCAUUCAAAUCUUUCUAUAAAUAGAACCCAACAAUCUCUCAAUUUCUUCAUCCUUUAAUUAAUUCAAAUAUCAUAAGGGAAACAAAAAAUGGGUUCCAAGGCAUUUCUGAUUCUUGGCCUUUUUCUGGCCAUAUUUGUAAUGAUAAGUUCUGAGGUUUUUGCUAGGGAGUUGGCUGAGACUUCCACCACUACUUCUGAAGAGGAUUGUAAGUAUAUCCAUUCAGUAUAAUAUGCUCAUUUUAUAAGGAAAUUUCACAUAUAUUUUUAUAAUUUAUCUCGAAAAUAUUGAGUUCAGAUGAACAUUCCUUACUUGUGCUUUAGAUGCUAGCUUGACCAAUCAUUCUUACUAAUUGUUCAAUUUUAUAUAAUUAGUUUUACAUUUUGCAUGUAUAUUACGAUAAUAAUAAUAGCAUAUUCAGUAUAAUUUCACAAAGGAUAUGGAGGAGGUGGUAUGUACACAACUAUACUCUUAUCAUGUGAAGAUAGAGAAGUUAAUUAAUUCGAUCAAUUCUCAACUCAAUUAAAACAUAAAGUAGCCCAUGCUGAACCUAAUGAAAUUUUGCAUACAUUUUAUAUAGUAUACUUUAACCUUCUGAACUUUGACGAGAAAUCUCCAUAUAAGUUAUGGAUUACAGAAUUUUAUAAUGCAGAGUUGGUAUUAAACAAAAAUAUUUCCUCCGUUUUAAUUUAUUUAUUUGGUUUUGACGUAUGCAGAUUUUAAAAAAAACUAAAGAGAAUUUUUGAAUCUUAUGAUUUAGAAUUUUUGAAUCUUCCGGUAUUAAACAUACCAAUAAGUAGUUGCCGAAGAAGGAAAGUGUCAUUUUUUUUUAGGCCUAAAAAAAGUAAGACAAAUAAAUCGGAAAUAAUAUUUUUUGAAAAAAAAAAACAAGUUAAGAAUAACAUUCUUGAUUACUUAAUUGAUGCAGCCAAGAAAUCCAGUAACAAAAAUGAAGUACAUGAAGCCGAAUAUGGCGGGUACCCUGGUGAUGGCGAUGGAUACCCUGGCGGCGGCCGUGGUGGUGUUGGUGGCGGAUACCCUGGCGGUGGCCAUGGUGGCGGUGGUGGUGGCCGUGGUGGUGGUGGAUACCCUGGCCAUGGUGGUGGUGGUGGAUACCCUGUCGGUGGUAGUAAAUACUCAGGCAACCGUGGUGGUGGCGGCCGGAAGUGUUGCUCCUAGAUACAAAGGUGAAUAAAUAGUAAUAUAUACUUAUAUCACCUUGUACUAAUUAGUGGCAAGAUGUAGUAGUAAUAUUCUUGCUGCUUUAAAUUUGGAGCUUAUUGUAAGAAUUAUUAUCAUGAAAUAAAAGCCAUCAUGUAAUGUUUGUUAAUUAUGCUAUGGUAUGAUAAUACUUUCCUUUGGUGUUUUACUUAUGGGCGGAAUUCUUAUUUCAUAUUAUUAUAAUUUGUUUCAAUUAACCGUUCACUAUUAUUAUCAAUAUCAAGUAUCAAUAUACAUCAAUAGUGUAAAUUUGCUUAUAUUUUUCUCUUCGAUUUCCGUGGAACUCAUCACACAUUUAUUAUGAAACAUACUUAUAAUGUCCAAAAACUAUGUAAAUUUAGAUUAGGCAAAAUUGAGGGCAUUUAUUAUUCUACGAUUUUCUCAAAUGUUUUGAAUUAUUGAUUAUUGUAGCUCUUUUUUGAAAAACUAAUUAUAGUAGUAUGACUUAUAAUACUUGGUAUUUGGGUCAAAAUAUGUGAUUUUAAAAAAAAAAAUUGGAAAAAUCAAUAUAUGUCUGAAUUCACAAAAAAAAUUCGAAAAUGAUAAUCGAAUUAUAAAAUGAAAUAGGCUUCAUUGUUGGAUUUUAUUAUAAGAAGCAUCACUGUGAAGACAAUCUAGCUACAAACUCUCAUUCCUUGAUAAAAUGAUUAAUUCUCAAACAUUACUAGAAAUUUGCACACCAUUUUUUUAAACCAUAUUUUGCUCCAUAUAUACCUCAUAUUUUGAUAGGAUCAACAAGCAAUAAAAGUAAUUUAUUUUGCUAUGCCAAUAUUUUAUUUAAUAAUAAUUUUAAUUGAGUGAUUUUAUUGAUAGAAAUGUCUAAGUUUAGUGAUUUUAUUGAUACAAAACAAAGUUCAAUGACUUUGUUAGAUAAAUUCUCAAAGUUGGGUGACCUUUUGAGAUAUUAACUCUAUAAUAUGACGACCCUUUCAGUAUAUUGCUUUAGUUAUUGCACUACCGAGAAAUCUAUGAUUUCUAUUCAUAAUUUUAUCAAAUCCGGAGUUAUUCGGACUCCAUUAUAAUAAAAUCAAACCACCGUAAAAUUAAAUACAUAUAGCAUAUACAUAUCAUUUGUAGCCUAAGUAUUUUUUUCAUCUAGUAAUUGUAAGGAGUGAUGCAACUUUGAUUUUACAUGUGUUCAAACUUUUGUAUUGCUCUUUGAUUUCCUUGGUGUCCACAUUGCUUAAUGUCUUAUUAGAACGGGAGCUGUUUAUCCAAUUUUAGACCUUGAGCUACAUGUCAACAAAGGUGGAGUAGAAGGACUUCUGACAUUUACAAAAGUGUUGUAAACCUUGUGAUUAAAGGUACUAUCAAAGGAAAGAAAUGUGUUUUGUAAUAGAAAGUGUCAACAAUGAGCUAACCUAUUGAAAGUUAUGUUGGAAGAGUUUCUUUGAUUUUUGCAGAUAGGAGUGAGCUCAUAGAAAUUUAUAAAUCAAUUCAAUCAUAGAACAAUAUUAAGUAACUAAUUUUACAAGAUCCAAUGAGAAGCAUAGGCUAUAAAGUGAACAUAAUUUUUUUUGUAGAACAUAAUUGUGUUACUUACCUUUCCAAAUUUUGUUCAUAAAUUUUUCCGUAUUCUAAUCAAACGCAUCUUAUAAAUGGACAGUAAUCAAAUGACCAUAUUUGAGAUCACUACAUCAAAAAUAAUCAUUAGCAAAAAUUAAUUUUUAAUUGCCGUUAAAUAUGUAUUUUUAGCGGCAAUUAGCACUCUUUGUAUAUGUCCCUAAAGUCUUUAACGACAUUGGUUCUAAUAGCACUUAACUAAUACCGGUAAAGACUUUAACACUCUUUAUUACUGUCAAUAUUUAUUGCCGCUAAAAGUUAUUUUUGUUGUAGUGGAUACACCCAGUGAAAUUCUUGAAUAUAUAAAGGAAGAAAGUCACUCCAUUCACUCGAGUAUAUAAAAGAAGGAAACUACUCGUAAUUUGAUAACCACAAAUUAAAAUUGAACUUCAUUUUUUGGGCACCUAGAUUUUGAUUCAAAUAUGUAAUAUAUUAUGCUCAAUAUUGUUCUAGUCCAGUUGAAAUCAAUAUUCAAAUUGAAUAAAUUUCAUAAUAUUAUGACGUAGAAAGUCAUAAUAAGCUUGUUUGGAUCAUGCCUUUCCUUGUUGCAUGCUAAAAUCACUAAAUGAUAUAAGACCUCUGACUUUCUUAAAUUAGUGUAUUGUUACAAAUUGGAGUAAUCCUCUCUUAGCAAUUUAGUUUAGGCCACAAGUUUUUGAGACUAAAAAAGACCUGAGAAAUCUUAUGUUUUUGCAAUCGACUUGGCAUUUCAAAAUCAUGUUAGGCAAAGCUUUGUAGUUUAAAGCAAUAUUUUUUAAAAAAAAUAAUAAUAACUUUAUCAAUGAGCUUCAAAAUGCUACAACAGAAAGGACAAUAUCUUUAUUAGCCUUUCUUAAUAUAGUUUAAUUAAUAUUAUUUAUUAUGUCUAAAUGUUAAUAUUUAUCUCAAAAAGUAUGAAUACAGAGCUCAAAUGUUAUGAAUGAAAAUAUGAUUUACUUGAUCUGUUUUCGCCUUCCCUUUCAAUCUUAUCUAAGCUUUGUAACUGAAGGCGUUAUUGUAUGAUCUACUUGUACGAUUUUUACGGCAUAAUAUCUCAUUUAAAACGUAAGAUUAAUGUGUCUACCAAUUCUAGAAAUGUUUAUAGAGAUUUAGGUACGAUAAUAAAAUGAUUAAGCUUCAUCUAUGAAACACGUGUUUUUCGUGAUAUAUCCCUAUUUCUUCUCAUUGAUCUAUUUUCUGUCCUAGCUUUAAGAAAAAAUGCUUUGCAAAAUGGAUGACCUAAUCUGAAAGUUUCCCAUUGAAACUUAAGCCACCAUAGGUAUGAUGUAUUCACAUCCUCUUUCCUUCUUUCUUUCUUAUCAUUUUAAUUGGGGAAAAUACAUAGAAUUCCCCCUGAACUUGGCACGAAAACUUACUUUAGUACUUAAACUACACGAAUGUUUCUUUACCCCCCCCCCCAAUUUAAUUUGAAUUGAAUUUAAUUACCCCUUAAAGAGUGACGUGGCAAAAUUUGUAUCACCAACUUUUCAUAAGCGGGUGAGAAAGGAAAAGACAUCAAAAACUGACACAUAUCAUCUUUUUAUUGGAUAACAUACUUAAUAAUUUAUUUUACUAAUUUUUAAAUAUUUUAUUUUUAAUUAACUUUUCUCUCUCUAUAUUUCUUUUUCUGCAUCUUCUUCUUCAUUUUUUUUUUCCAUUUUUGUUCUUUUUCUAGCAUCUUCUUCUUCUUCUUUUUUUCUCUUCUCAUAACUCUUUCUCUUUUUUAUUCUUUUCAUUUAGUUCAAAUAAACAUUUACUUCCAAAUAUAACUUCUUCCACAUUUUUUCUUCUUCUUUUCUUUUCUAUUUUUAAUCGUUUCUUUCUUCUUCUUUUUUACAAAAUUUUUGGUGUUUGAUUCACCCACCAUUUUUUACAUCAAAGAAGAUUAUUAGAUCUAUCAGUUUAAAUCGUCUUCAGAAUGAAGUUGACUUCCAUUAAAAAAAAAUCGAAGAUAUUGUUGGCAAAAUAUUAACUAUGGAGAUUUCCCCCAAUUCAUUAAUAAUUUUUCAUUUUUAUGCAAAUAUUUUUUUAAAUUUUUGAGGAAGGUGGUAUCGUAUAACUAAACUGAAAAUACAAUUGAAAUUUGAAUUAUAGUUUGUAUAUUGAGGAGUAAAUUCAUUGAUGGGUUUAAUUUUUGGCUCAAUAUUUUUAAAAAACAAUUAUUAUGGAGAUUUAAGCAAUUAAUUAGGAAUUUUGCUAAUGUACACGUGGACGAAUGAAAAACGCGUGUGACUCAACAACACUCAGCCUUCAACUAGGCUGGUGCUGGGAAGUUUGAAAAAAAUCACUUAAAAGAUGUUAAGGGGGUAUAUAAACAUCCGUGUAGUUUAAGUACUAAAGUAAAUUUUCGGACCAAGUUCAGGUGGGUUUUUAUGUAUUUUCCCUUUUAAUUGGCUUUCUUCCACCUAAUUCUUUCAACCAUUCAAAUUUAAUAGUAUUUGUUUUUGUUGUCUUCACACCUUCUUUUCCGAGAUUUAGUUUUACAAACAUAGUAUUUAUUAAUUUAAAUGCAUAAGGUGCAUUAAAUGCCUCAAAUUAGUUGAUAACGAACACAAAAUACAUGAAAAAGACAUAAUACAUGUAGAAAUCAAGAAUAUUUGCUAACAAACAUGUCAAAACUCUAGCACACAUAUUAUACACAUUCACCCCAAUUUCCAACACUCAAUAACAACUAUAAGCAUAAAAAAUUCAUUUGCCAAAACUUUUACAAACACAUAUUAUAUGCCUCAAAAGAGAAGUAGGUUAAGAACAACGUAAGUAGAUAGAAAAAUUCUCCUGAAAACAGAGCGAUAUUCAGCGAGGGAAGAAGAAAGCACUUGUGAAAAUUAAGGAGUAAAUAUCUCAAAGCUCAGUCGAAUUAUGUUGUAAAGUCAUUCAACUUUAUUUUGUAUCAAUGAAAUCAUUGAACUCUUUUAUAAAAUUAGUUGAUCAAAUUUACCAUAAAAAACAUUUUAACAUGAUAAAAUAAAUUAAUUGCUCUCCCACAUAUCUCAAUCUUUUAUAUGUUAUUCUUCUUUUCUGCAAUAAUUACAAAAAAAUUACUCUCCAUUUCAAAAAAUUACAAUCAUGGAUCAAUGAAUUAAGUGUAAGAUAUGAAUUUUUUUUUAAAUUAUUGGUGAAAUUAUUUUUAAAUAUAAUACGAACAAUAUAAUAUGGGAAGAGGAGAAAGUGGAUACCUCAUCACGUUCAGUUUUCAUACGUUCCCUCGAAUGGGUUCGAUUCGCUUCACAAAUUUACUAAAAAGUUCAAAAUUCAUGCCAAUUGUUUUUAACUUGUUCAUGACUUUUAAAUAUUUUAAGAAGUUUCUCGUAAAUAUAUUUUAAAAAAUAAUGAUUUUAUCUUGUAGAAUAAUUUUUAUGGUAAGUUUGAUCGAGUUAUUUUAUAAAAGAAAUAUUCAAAGUUGAGUGAUUUUAUUGAUAUAAAACAAAGUUGAAUAAUUUUACAAUAUAAUUUCUCAAAGUUGAAUGACCUUUUGAGAUAUUUACUCGAAAAUUAAGAGAAAUUUAACGCUUUUGGAAUUAUGAUACUGUAAGGGAAAAAUGGAUCAUUCCAUAGAUAAUAUAAAAAGCAUCUAUGUGUUACACAUAAUACAUGUGUCUUUGUGAUAUGAGUGAGGUAAGCUUAAGAAAAUUACAGAUUUGUCCUUGUUGGUCCUUCCCAACUCCCUACAUAGUACACAUGUCUUUGUGAAAUGAGUGGGGAGUAGUACUUGUUUAAUGAAAUGGCCCCCAAUACAGUACAACUUGUAUUACCUUUGGUACAUCUAUUUGAUGCUAUGUUAGUCCCACUAACUAUAGUACAUGUGUCUUUGUGAUAUGAGUGGGGUAAGCUUAAGAAAAUUACAGAUUUGUCCUUGUUGUUCCUUCCCAACUCCCUACAUAGUACAUGUGUCUUUGUGAAAUGAGUGGGGAGUAGUACUUGUUUAAUGAAGUGGGCUGGUACAACUUAUAUUACCUUUGGUUCAUCUAUUUGAUGUUGUGUUAGUCUCAUCAACUCCCACUUAUAUAUAGGAGUAAUAUUGAAUUUCAAAAUUUUAAUUAUAUCACAUGACACAAAUUUCGGCAGACGAACUAUAACACUGAUAUGCUUCAUCUUUCCGAUGCCCAAAUGGCAAUCACUAUUAAAAAAAAACUCAACGGAUGUUAGUAAUACAAGUAUUUCAAACAUACCAAUAAGUAGUAUUUAUUUGGUAUUAAACAAAAAUAUUUCCUCCGUUUUAAUUUAUUUAUUUGGUUUUGACGUAUGCAGAUUUUAAAAAAAACCAAAGAGAAUUUUUGAAUCUUAUGGUUUAGAAUUUUUGAAUCUUCCGGUAUUAAACAUACCAAUAAGUAGUUGCCGAAGAAGGAAAGUGUCAUUUUUUUUUAGGCCUAAAAAAAGUAAGACAAAUAAAUCGGAAAUAAUAUUUUUUGAAAAAAAAAAACAAGUUAAGAAUAACAUUCUUGAUUACUUAAUUGAUGCAGCCAAGAAAUCCAGUAACAAAAAUGAAGUACAUGAAGCCGAAUAUGGCGGGUACCCUGGUGAUGGCGAUGGAUACCCUGGCGGCGGCCGUGGUGGUGUUGGUGGCGGAUACCCUGGCGGUGGCCAUGGUGGCGGUGGUGGUGGCCGUGGUGGUGGUGGAUACCCUGGCCAUGGUGGUGGUGGUGGAUACCCUGUCGGUGGUAGUAAAUACUCAGGCAACCGUGGUGGUGGCGGCCGGAAGUGUUGCUCCUAGAUACAAAGGUGAAUAAAUAGUAAUAUAUACUUAUAUCACCUUGUACUAAUUAGUGGCAAGAUGUAGUAGUAAUAUUCUUGCUGCUUUAAAUUUGGAGCUUAUUGUAAGAAUUAUUAUCAUGAAAUAAAAGCCAUCAUGUAAUGUUUGUUAAUUAUGCUAUGGUAUGAUAAUACUUUCCUUUGGUGUUUUACUUAUGGGCGGAAUUCUUAUUUCAUAUUAUUAUAAUUUGUUUCAAUUAACCGUUCACUAUUAUUAUCAAUAUCAAGUAUCAAUAUACAUCAAUAGUGUAAAUUUGCUUAUAUUUUUCUCUUCGAUUUCCGUGGAACUCAUCACACAUUUAUUAUGAAACAUACUUAUAAUGUCCAAAAACUAUGUAAAUUUAGAUUAGGCAAAAUUGAGGGCAUUUAUUAUUCUACGAUUUUCUCAAAUGUUUUGAAUUAUUGAUUAUUGUAGCUCUUUUUUGAAAAACUAAUUAUAGUAGUAUGACUUAUAAUACUUGGUAUUUGGGUCAAAAUAUGUGAUUUUAAAAAAAAAAAUUGGAAAAAUCAAUAUAUGUCUGAAUUCACAAAAAAAAUUCGAAAAUGAUAAUCGAAUUAUAAAAUGAAAUAGGCUUCAUUGUUGGAUUUUAUUAUAAGAAGCAUCACUGUGAAGACAAUCUAGCUACAAACUCUCAUUCCUUGAUAAAAUGAUUAAUUCUCAAACAUUACUAGAAAUUUGCACACCAUUUUUUUAAACCAUAUUUUGCUCCAUAUAUACCUCAUAGUUUGAUAGGAUCAACAAGCAAUGAGAUGAGUCUGUCCAUAAAUCCACAAUUAGUACUUAUAAAAUCAUUCUUUUCGAAAGAAAGUGUCAAGUGUGUUGGAUUUAUAGCUUGUUCUACAGCAAACAUUGGUACUUGAGUAGGAUAGAGCAAUUCCGUGUUUAUAUCUUUCCAUGCAUUACUCAUUAUCUUCUGAACCUCGAUAUAUGUCUCUUGCUUUGAAACUACACGUUCUUUCAUAUAACAUUCAAGGAAUGAUGGUAUAUGUGUUCUUUGUUGUUCAAACUGCAUCAAAUAGAUUUUAAUAUGCUCAAUACAAUAAUAUAUUUAAUUUUUAUCAAAUUCAUUUAUUAUCUUACAUGAUGUCCAAUAAUGUCGUCCUUUAAUAGACUUAAUACUGAUGAAGCUUGAAGAACCGAAGAAUCACUUGUUACCCAUUCCAAAGUUUCUUUGGUUAUAAUAAAUUCCUCCAAACAUACCAAGGAAAUUGUUGCAAUCAAUUUGAUGGCAAUGCUUGUAAUUGCAUUUUCCAUAUACUCCUCACAUUUUGGAAAAUAGCAAGCAUUCAACCAUUGUGCUUCCUUGAAAUAUUAUUUCAUCCAUUUUUUCAUCUAUAAAGAAACAAUAUAAAAAGUAAAAUUAGAUAAUAAGCAUACUUUAUCUAGUUUUGGAUUGUAAUUUUGUCACGCUCCGAGCCUACAUCCUGGGCGGGACUGGCACUCGAAGACCAUUGCUGGCCACAAGUGAACCCUUGGUCUGGCUUACUUACUCAGUGGAAGACAAUAUUCAUACUUAAUGAUCAAUAACACUUAACUGAACUAAAUCAUAGGAUAACUGAGAAUGUUAAAAGCUAAACAUUCAACUUGGCCAAAAGUGGCAACCCAAGUCUUAACAAUAAGAAAUGAUAUUGAAAAAACUCAAAGGACUAACAUAUGACUGUCUAUGAAGCCUCUAAUGACCAAUGAGAUGGAUGUUGGGACAGACCCCACAACAUCCUAAUUAACUAAACUAGAAAGCAAUGAAAUGGAUGCUCCGGAAAGCAAGGAGGCUUACCAACAGACUCUGGACUGCUCACUGGAUCAACGAUGCACCGGAAUGUCGAUCCUAGUUACAUGUGUCUGCAUCAUAAUACGAUGCAGGCCAACUGACAUCAGUACAUUGAAUGUACGAGUAUGCGAGUUGGAAUGCUAAAAUAACAUAGGCAUGAAAGAAUUUGAGAGAAACUGAAGAACUUACCUAGCUCAACUCAACUCAACAUGACAGAAUUCAUUUCAAUAUAAAGCAGUUCAAAAGCAAGUGCAAUAUAAAGAAAAGUUGUUUAAAAACAUGAUAUCAACUCUGUGUGUAUACAAGAUACAAAUAACUCUGAAAUGUAUUUAAAAAUACAAUGAACUGAUGUAUAUAAAAAUACAAGAACUUAUGUGGGAGUUUCUCUAACCGACAACCAUCACUUAAGAGCUAUAGUGAUGAUACAACGAUCUNNNNNNNNNNNNNNNNNNNNNNNNNNNNNNNNNNNNNNNNNNNNNNNNNNNNNNNNNNNNNNNNNNNNNNNNNNNNNNNNNNNNNNNNNNNNNNNNNNNNNNNNNNNNNNNNNNNNNNNNNNNNNNNNNNNNNNNNNNNNNNNNNNNNNNNNNNNNNNNNNNNNNNNNNNNNNNNNNNNNNNNNNNNNNNNNNNNNNNNNNNNNNNNNNNNNNNNNNNNNNNNNNNNNNNNNNNNNNNNNNNNNNNNNNNNNNNNNNNNNNNNNNNNNNNNNNNNNNNNNNNNNNNNNNNNNNNNNNNNNNNNNNNNNNNNNNNNNNNNNNNNNNNNNNNNNNNNNNNNNNNNNNNNNNNNNNNNNNNNNNNNNNNNNNNNNNNNNNNNNNNNNNNNNNNNNNNNNNNNNNNNNNNNNNNNNNNNNNNNNNNNNNNNNNNNNNNNNNNNNNNNNNNNNNNNNNNNNNNNNNNNNNNNNNNNNNNNNNNNNNNNNNNNNNNNNNNNNNNNNNNNNNNNNNNNNNNNNNNNNAAAUCCUAGAUUCCCCUUUUACUGAUUUAAACGUAGAUGUAGGGCGUGAGUAUAAACUAGUCCAACACUAUGAUAGCCUUACAUACUUGAAUAAAACAAGGUUCUUGAAGAAUCUUGAAGAAGAACUUGAUUAGAAGCCUUGAAACCCUAGCUUGAAGGUAAACAAUCAAGAAGACCUUUCUUGAGAUUCUCGAGUUAGUUUCUUAAAAUCUCUAUAGCCAAAAAUUAUGAUUUUCAUGAGUGAAGAUGAAAAUCUGAUUGUUUUGAGCUUUUUAUUAGUUCAAGAAAUUCGUUGAUGGUUUUCUUGGAGGUAAAAAGACAAAAACGAUUAUUUUCAAUAUUUUCCCGUCGGCUAAUUCGUAACAGCACUGUAUAGGUUACUAAAAUAGUCAUAACUUUUUACUCAGAUAUUGGAUUGACAUGAAACUAGUGGGGUUAGAAAGUAGAUUCAAUUACCUUUAAUUGGAUAGGUUAUGACUCACGUAACUCUUAAUAUUCUAAGAGAUACGGUCGUUUAAAGUUGACCUAAGCAAAAUUUUACUUCAAAACUUAAUGAAACUUCAAGAACACUUAUCAAGAACUCAUCAAGAACUCUAAUCUUUAAAUUUCAUGAACGAAAUUACGCUAAAUAAAUCAUGAUUGGUGUGUGGGUGAAAGAACCCAACACUAUGGAAGCUUACAUACCUUAAUGGAUUGAAUCCUCGGCGAAAUUCCCAAGCAAUUCCUUACGACGACGAAGAAUCUAGCUUUUUCCUCCUUUUCUCUUUUCUUGCGUUCCUCCUCCAAAACCCUAGCUCUAUUUGGUAAAUGUCUAAAUUGAUCUAAUUCAGUUUAGACCCCUUAUUAAUUACCAAAAACGAUUUAAAAUAAGGGUAAGGAAAAGACCAAACUACCCUUUAAAAUCCGGAUUGGACAUUUCCUUAAUCCAACAGCCCAAUUUCCAAAGGGCAUAUCUUACUCCUACGAAAUCGGAAUCGCGCAAACUUGGCGGCGUUGGAAAGAUAGUUCCAAGAACUUUCCAACCAUAUCUAUAAUUACUCCUAACUCAUCCUGAGCUAGGAGUUAUGAUCAUUUGAAAAUGACAAAAACUCAACUUUUCUUGCUUACAAUUUUCCAGAUUUCCCUUGAACGUUCCAAAAACGAAAAUUUCCAGAUUUAAACUACAUUCUAAUUAUUUCUAGAUGCGGGAUGUUACAGAUUUCACUAAUUAUCACAUGACUUUUGUUUUAUCGUGUACCAAAUUCACUAAAUUAUUUUUCCAUGGUAAUUAUAUUUUCUUCAUACGUUCACACCGACAAGUAAAAGUGAAAAUGUAUUUUUGAAACACUGGACAAAUAAAAAUGAAUAGAGUGAGAGUAAUUAUUUUACAUAGAUUAAUUAAUGAGGAUGAGUUAUCAAGCAAGCUUAAUUACCUCAACUUUUGCAUAGUAGGCCCGGUCUGCUUUACCUUCUUUUUUCAAUUCAUCUUCUAUUUCAUUUAUAAUUUGCUAUUUCAUACAAUUUUUCCUAAUAAUAUACCACAGAAUUUAACAUGGGCCGGGUUCAAACUCUUAUUAUAAUAAUGUUUUUUUAAUGCGUCAUAAUUCAAUAUCAACAUUAAUUUAGGAGAUUUAUGAAAUUAUUUUAUCGCGGAAUUGAAUCCACUAUGACCAUAGUUUGUAUUAUCGAUCAUAGAAAUUAUCACAAAACAAAUUAAUCCUUUGAUUUCUCCAUACACUCAUAUUGUGUGUAUAUUUACUUUUAUAUGUAUACCAUAAAUAUAAAUAAGAGGACGCUAGUUAAUAUAUGCUAACGAGCUAAUUAACAGUAGUACUCUUAUGAAUAAAUCCGACUCAAUAAUAAUUUUCGAGUUUAGUGGUUGGUUGGUUGGUGAGCAUAAUUAAUUAAUACAUUUUUUUGUGAUAAGCAGAACUAACAAACAAGACGUUUUGUCAACACAAUUGGUAAGUGUCUGUUUGACAUUUUCCACAAGCAUUUAUUCGUCGGCAUUAAUAAAACUGUAUGUAUGUGGCUAUUAGAGCCUGUUAUCUUUUCAUAUAUAUAUAUAUAUAUACUAGAUAAUGUUGCCCGUGCUAUGCACGGGACCAAUAAUAUAAAUGGUGUGUUUUGGGGCUAAUAAUCGAGUUUUUGAAGCAAUUGUUUGCGUGGAUAAAGGAAUAAAUUUUUUUAUCACAAACCUGUACUUUCUUUGACGCUAUUUAAGGCAUAAUAAGACAACCCACAUACAACAUUUUUGAAAUAUUUUAUGUUGUCAAUUAUCAUGAUUUAUAGUAUUUUUACGAUAGAUUCACUUCAAGAAUCAGUGGAAUUUUUUGUAUUUUUUUUCAAAACAUAUUUUAUAUUGUCAAUUAUCAUGAUUUAUAGUAUUUUUACGAUAGAUUCACUUCAAGAAUCAGUGGAAUUUUUUGUAUUUUUUUUCAAAACAUAUUUUAUAUUGUCAAUUAUCAUGAUUUAUAGUAUUUUUACGAUAGAUUCACUUCAAGAAUCAGUGGAAUUUUUUGUAUUUUUUUUCAAAACAUAUUUUAUAUUGUCAAUUAUCAUGAUUUAUAGUAUUUUUACGAUAGAUUCACUUCAAGAAUCAGUGGAAUUUUUUGUAUUUUUUUUCAAAACAUAUUUUAUAUUGUCAAUUAUCAUGAUUUAUAGUAUUUUUACGAUAGAUUCACUUCAAGAAUCAGUGGAAUUUUUUGUAUUUUUUUUCAAAACAUAUUUUAUAUUGUCAAUUAUCAUGAUUUAUAGUAUUUUUACGCAAUUUUUAAAUAUAAAAAAAAAUAAGACAAAUAAAUUAAAAUGGACCCAAUAUAUGUUAUUUUUGUUGUGAAAUUUGGAGAGUCGUCCAAAUUUUCAUAUAUUUUUUAAAAAUGUUUUAAGUUAUUAAUUAUUGUGAUUUAUAAUAUUUUUAUGUAACUUUUAAAUAACGUACAUUACUGGUCACUUUGUCCUAAUUUAUGUGAUAUGGAUAAAAUUACAAAAUUAACCCUUUUAAAAUGUCUUUCAGAUAUUUUAAGUUGUUAAUUAUUAUUAUUUAUAAUACUUUUUUGGUAAUUUUAAAAUGAUAUGUGUUAUUUUUUCUGUCCCAAUAUAUGUGAGCCUGAUAGAAUUCUGAGAGUCAACGUAUUUUAUUAUAUAGCUUUUUAAAAUAUUUUAAAAUUGGUAAUUAUUGUAAUUUUUAAUGCUUUUUAAGUCAUUUGUAAAUGAUAUAUGUGCCAGAUCAGUCGAUUUUUUUAUAUGUUUUCUUAAAAAUAUAUUUGAAGUUAUUAAAUUGUUGUGAUUUAUAGUAUUUUUGCGUUAGUUUUGAAUAAUAUAGGUUACUCAUAUUUCAAUUCACGUGAAUAAUAAUAAAUAUUUUCAGUUGUUAAUUUAUUGUGAAUUCUAGAAAUUUUGACGUUAUUUUCAAAUAGUACAUGUUACUUAUUCUAUUCCAAUUAGUCAACCAAAUUCCAUAUAUGAUUUAAAAAUAUUUUUAAUUGCUAAUUAUUGUGAUUUAUAGCAUCUUUUAUGUAACUUUUAAUAAUAUAUAAUUUGUUCAAAUUCAUAUGACAAUGAUAAGAUUUCAAGAGUCAACGCAAUAAAAAUUUAAAUUUUUUAAAAAGUUGUACCUCUAAUAUAUUUUGUAGCUAAAAUAUACUCUCUCCGUCCACUUGUAUUUGUCAUGUUGCGCUUUUUGAAAGUCCAUUUGACUAAUUUUCAAAGUUAAAUCAGAUUGUAUUAAUGUAUUUUUAGAAAAAAAUUUAAAUAUGCAAAAUCUAUACAAAAAGUACUAUAAAUCGUAAUUUUUUGCCUAUGAUUAUGAUGAAAAAACACAUUGUAAAAUAUUAGUUAAAAUUCUUAUAGUUUGACUCUAAAAAGGAAAUCAUAACAAUUAAAAGUGCAUAGAGAGAGUAAUAAAUAGGUAAUUAAAUUUCAAGAAGUUUAAAAUAAAAGGUUGAAAAAAAGAAUUAGAUAGACAACAUUUAUUGAAAAUUGAAAACAUAUAAAUAAUAAAUGGGCCCAAAUGAGGUCAAACUUUUUGGCUUAAAUUGUCCAAUAAUAUAAAUUUUAAAGGUACAACCAUAAAAGAAGAAUGUACAACACUAGCAAGCACAUAUCAUCCAACAUUUGUCAUGUGCUAAGUAGUAGUUAUCCCCACUUAUUAUAUAUAAUAAUAUAUAUACAUAAUUUUAUGUUAAAAAUAUGUUUGAUACGAUAAAAAAAUAUUAUUUCAAAAAUAUUUAUAAUAUAAUCAGACAAACACUCUGAGGUUGGAAGAGGGAUGGAUGAAGGCGAGGGGGAUGGGGGGGGGGGGUGUUGAGAGCCUGUCGGAGCAUGGGUUUCGAGAGGAGGUGUGGUGCAUGGUAGGAUAGGGACGUAGAGACGAGGGUGAACUAGAGAGACAAUCAAGUUAGAAUAACACUAAUGUAAAAUUUAUUUUUUCCAUCAUGUAUACCAUUUUUAGAGAAUACAAGUCACUUACUUUUUUUUAAUAAAAUAUUUUUAGAAAAUUUUGACAAUGAAGAAACACAAAAGAGUCACAUGACUAUGUUUAUUUCAAUGCAAUAUAUUAUAUUCAUUUUUGUAUGAUAUAAAUCCAAUAAAACAUCAACAUUUAAUAUACCAUUUCCCCACAAGAGCCGUCGACUACUUUGCUAACAAAAAGAUUUUGGUGAUCUUAUAAUGUGUCCAAAAUGGAUAAUGAACCCACAUAAAUUCGUAUAGGGGUGUGCAAAAAUCGAUUUAACCAAUAAACUGAACCAAAAAAAACACUAUUGGUUUAUUGAUAUUGGGUUAUUGGGCUAACGGUUUUUAAACGGUUUUGCAAAAAAUUUUAUUGGGUUAUUGGUUCGGUUUCCGGUUUGAUAAUUUUUGUUAAUGGUUAAACCGAUAACCCAAUAAGACUAUACUAAAUUUAUUAGUCUUAUUGUUAAUGGUUAAACGAUUGUUACUUUCACACUUUUUCCUUUGAAUGUGUCUAGUGUCUAAACUUGCAAGAAAAAUGAUUGUUACUUUUAUGAUUAUUACUUUCAUGCCAAAUGCUGGAAAAAUCAUAUGGUUUAUUUGAAAAUUUUCUUAUCGUGUAUAUAAUAUAUAUGAGUAUUUUCUUAUUGGUUAAACCGAAAACCGAACCGUUAAGUACCAUAAACCGAUUAACCAAAAACCGAUAAGAAAUAUGUUAUUGGUUUGGUUAUCAGUUUGAAGUAUUUACAAACCGAAAACCGAUAAACCGAACCAAUAACACCUAAAACCGAACCGAACCGAACCGACCGAUGCUUGGUUAUCGGUUUGAAGUAUUUACAAACCGAAAACCGAUAAAUCGAACCAAUAACACCUAAACCGAACCGAACUGAUCGAUGCGCACCACUAAAUACGUACGGUUGAGAAAUAUAAUGUUUUGUAGUUUUGAAGGUCUGAUUGGAUUUAAUCAUUGAAAUUUAUUGAGAUUUUGAUAUUAAUAGGUUGAACGUCAAAUUUAAUUUCGUGUUCAUCUAUCAGAAACUUUCGGAUAAUAUAUUCUAAAAUUAAAACAUAAUUUAUAUUAAAAUCACAAUAAUCUGUCCGAUAAAUUUGUAGCGAGACAAGUCUUUAUCUAUCGAUCCAAAUUUAAAGAUAUCAAAUUAGACUUUUUAUGUAGAUAAAUAUGUAUCAGUUUGUUACAUGUACGUUUAACUUAAAUAUAAUGCAACAAAUUAUAUAUAGUACUUGUCAUGUGUAUGAACUCAAAUGUGAAAUCUUCACUAAAUUUCUUCAGCUGCCGACUGAAUAUUGGUCCACACAUUAAUUCCAUAAAUGCAUGUUCCCGCUCUAGGGGCGGAUCUAGAGUAUCGAGCGUGAAUUUUCAGAAACGUAAUAAUUUUUACAUAAAUCUUCUAUUUAUAUUAAAAAAUCUAUUAAUUAUAUAUAAAAUAUUUGUUGAAAAUCUAAUAACAAAAUAAGUUCUUAGUUCAAUGGUAGAAACGAAACCUACUUAAGUUUUCAGUGAGGGUUUAAUACUUUAAUUCCUCUUGGGUACUUAUAUUAAAGUCCUCUUUUAAAAUAAAAAAUAAAAAAUUGAGAUCGUUAAAAGCCCAUAAACUUUAAAUUCUGAAUUUGCUUCUGUCCGCUACAUCCAAAUAAUACUCUCUUCAAUCAUUUUAUCCAUUCAAAUCUUUCUAUAAAUAGAACCCAACAAUCUCUCAAUUUCAUCAUCCUUUAAUUAAUUCAAAUAUCAUAAGGGAAACAAAAAAAUGGGUUCCAAGGCAUUUCUGAUUCUUGGCCUUUUUUUGGCCAUAUUUGUAAUGAUAAGUUCUGAGGUUUUAGCUAGGGAGUUGGCUGAGACUUCCACCACUACUUCUGAAGAGGAUUGUAAGUCUAUCCAUUCAGUAUAAUAUAUUUUUAUAAUUUAUUUCGAAAAUAUUGAGUUCAGAUGAAUAUUUCUACUUGUGCUCUAGAUGCUAGCUUGACCAAUUAUUCUUACUAAUUGUUCAAUUUAUAUAAUUAGUUUUACAUUUUGCAUGUAUAUUACGAUAACAAUAAUAACAUAUUCAGUGUAAUGUCAUAAAGGAUAUGGGAAGGUGGUAUGUACACAACUAUACUCUUAUCAUGUGAAGAUAGAAAAGUUGUUUAAUUCGAUCCAUUCUCGACUCAAGUAAAACAUAAGGUAGUCCAUGCUGAACCUAAUGAAAUUUUGCAUAUAUAUUACUAUAUAGUAUAUUUUAACCUUCUGAACUUUGACGAGAAAUCUCCAUAUAAGUUAUGGAUUACAGAACUUUAUAAUGCAGAGUUGGUAUUAAACAAAAAUGUUCCCUCCGUUUUAAUUUAUUUGUUUGGUUUUGACGUAUGCAGAUUUUAAAAAAAAGUAACGAGAAUUUUUGAAUCUUAUGAUUUAGAAUUUUUGAAUCUUCUGAUAUUAAACAUACCACGUGGAAAAGCUAAAAUAAGGAGUUGCCAAAGAAGGAAAGUCUCAUUUUUUUUUAGGCAUAAAAAAUAGUAAGAAAAAUAAAUCGGAAAUAAUAUUUUUUGAAAAAAAAAAACCAAGUUAAGAAUAACAUUCUUGUUUACGUAAUUGAUGCAGCCAAGAAAUCCAGUAACAAAAAUGAAGUACAUGAAGCCGAAUAUGGCGGGUACCCUGGUGGUGGCGGUGGCGGUGGAUACCCUGGCGGCGGCCGUGGUGGUGGUGGUGGUGGAUACCCUGGCGGUGGUGGUGGCAGCCGUGGUGGUGGUGGUUGUGGAUCCCCUGGCGGUGGCCAUGGUGGUGGUGGUGGCGGCCGUGGUGGUGGUGGAUACCCUGGCGGUGGUGGUGGCGGUGGUGGAGGCCAUGGUGGUGGUAGAUACUCAGGCGGUGGUGGACGUGGUGGUGGCGGCGGCCACGGUGGACGUGGUGGUGGCGGCAGGAAGUGUUGUUCCUAGAUACAAAGGUGAAUGAAUAGUAAUAUAUAAGUAUCACCUUGUACUAAUUAGUGGCAAGAUGUAGUAGUAAUAUUCUUGCUGCUUUAAAUUUGGAGCUUAUUGUAAGAAUUAUUAUCAAGAAAUAAAAGCCAUCAUGUAAUGUUUGUUAAUUAUGCUAUGGUAUGAUAAUACUUUCCUUUGGCUGGGUUUGAGAGAGAGAGCGUGAGAUAGUUGGUCUAAUAACUAGUCCAACUUCCUUGUAUCUGAAAGCGAUGACAGGAUGUUAGGUCUAGUAAGGAGACUUUUUGGAUAAUUUACUUCCACGAAUAGAUUGUUAGGCUAAGAAGAAUAGGUUGGGAUUGAUCCCACCUUUGAAAGAGUGGUUUUGCUCUGUCAAUACGGUGUUUUACUUUUGGGCGGAAUUCUCACUUUAUAUAAUUAUUUAAAUUUAUAAUUUCAUAUUAUUAUAAUUUGUUCGACUAACCGUUCACUAUUAUUAUCAAUAUCAAGUAUCAAUAUACACCAAUAGUGUAAAUUUGCUUAUAUUUUUCUCUUCGAUUUCCAUGGAACUCAUCACAUUUAUUAUGAAACAUACGUAUAAUAUCCAAAACUAUGUAAAUUCAGAUUAGGCAAAAUUGAGGGCAUUUAUUAUUCCACGAUUUUAUGAAAUGUUUUGAAUUAUUGAUUAUUGUAGCUCUUUUUUGAAAAACUAAUUAUAGUAGUAUGACUUAUAAUACUUGGUAUUUGGGUCAAAACAUGUGAUUUUAAAAAAAAAAUUGAAAAAAUCAAUAUUUGUCUGAAUUCACAAAAAAAAUUCGAGGCACCAAUUCCAUGGCACUAAUGUCACAUCUGCAUGAAAUUAUACAAAAAAUAAAUAGUUUGAUUCUUACACGUGAUCAAAUUACCGCCACAUAAAAUGUAACGAAGGGAAUAACAUUGUUAUACUUUACCUCUCUAUUGCAUUUGUGAAAAGCUCAAGUUCAUCAAAUGUUGCAUAAGCAUCAAAUGUAUCAUCAACAAUGCUAAUGAUGGCAAUUAUUUUUCCUGUCAUUAUUCUUGCACGACUCUGUUGAGGCUCAAAAUGCAAUCCAACUGCUCCAAAAUAACACUCCACCAAUCUGUCUCUUGCAUAUGAAAAUUUAUUUGCAACAUCGAUAUUUUUCCACCAUCUAUAGUAUAAAAUAUCAAAUAUAUAUUAAUUAGGGAUUAGUUACGUAAGAACCAUAAUUAUGAGAUUGAAGAGGGUAUAAGAGUACUAAUCUUUACCUUGUAAGUUCGCUAAGCUCUCUUUGGUACACCUUUUGCAAAAUAUUGAAAUCCAAUUUCGCAAAUUUCAAAAGUAAAUUGUUACGUGAUUCAUCGUUCUCAUACAUAUAUAUGUUUUUCCUUGCUAACAAUCUUGGUAGAUUUGUAUGAAUGGGCUGGUUUAAGGCUUCACUAACUUGGGCCUUGACUGAGUUGCCCAAUUUAGGGGCCAUGGACUCCAGAUGAGUGACGGUAAAAGUUAGAGCUUCUUCAAGAAUUUCCUCUCCGUGUACUCUUAGAUGUGUUGCUUCGUAUAGACUUAAUAAUCCUUGCACAUCUUUAGUAAGAGUUUCCUUGAAUAUUCCGUCAUGAUUGGUGAAUUUUUUGAAGACAUCUGAUUUCACAUCAUAAUAUAAUUAUAUCAAAGAAAUUAAUAAAGAGCCACACAAAAUAGGAAUAAAUUAGUUACCAGAAGACAUGUAAUGUCUUUGUUGUCUCACUAGUCGAAAUUGAAGAGCAACAACGUAUAGAUCGUCAUCAUUUUUUAGACUCUUCAAAAAUGUUCUGAAUGGAUGUUUCGAUGUCAUUUUUGAAAUGAUAUGCCACUCCCAAUCGUUGGAUUGUGUCAAUCAAAACAAGUUUUUGUGUACUAUUAUUAGGUGACUCAACUAACAUUUGCCUUACUUUUUCUUUCAACUCUUCAUGUUCAUGUUUUUCUUUGCUACUAAUUUCCUGCACCAAAUGUUAAGUGUUAUUAUUUGACAUAGAGUAAUACCUCCAUUAUAUAAUUUAAUCAUAGGGAUUAGGGAAAAUAAUUAUUGCCUGUUUAUGCAACAUUUGAUUGACUGUAUAAGAAAAGGUUUGUAAAUGGAUACACUACCAAUAUAAUUGCCCUAUUAAUUAGGUCAAUUUAGCUAGGCGUUUGGACAUGAAUUAUAUUAAUGUUAUUUGAGAAAUAAUAAUUAGUAUUUGAAGAUGAAGUUUGUUGACACCCAAUUUUGACCUUCCCCGAUAAGAAUNNNNNNNNNNNNNNNNNNNNNNNNNNNNNNNNNNNNNNNNNNNNNNNNNNNNNNNNNNNNNNNNNNNNNNNNNNNNNNNNNNNNNNNNNNNNNNNNNNNNAAUUAGUUUAUAAUUAAGUUAAUUAUUUUAUUUCAUUGAAAUCAAGAAGCUCGUUAAUUAAUUAUAUUUAUUCAUCCUAUCUAAGUUUUAGCCAAAUUCACUAGUGAAAUACAUUGAUCAAAUCAAUAGUUCAUGUGGUUAUAUUAAAUGACCAAAACGUGGGCCUCUUUUACAAGUUCAGCAGCCCAUCUCUUUUUCCAAUUCCUUUUCACCUUUCCAAACCAAUUGGAAAUUCCCCACAACCCAGGCCCAUCCUCUGUUUCAGCCACAACUCCAGCAAAUCCCAUAUGUUACAACACCAAUGGCCCCAACGAUCCAGCCCAAUUCCCAUCCGACCCGGUCCACCAAUACACAAAAAUAACCCCAACAUUACAAUACCCACCAAACACACAAUACGUAUAGCAACACCCAAAACAGUACCCUGUGUUUUUCCCCAUUCCAGACGCGACAAAAGUCGAAACCCAGCGAUUCCAGCUCUAUUUUCAGCAAAGGGUCGUCCUUGCAGUUGUGAGAUGAGGCCACGUCGAGCUCCAAGGACGAUGGGAAUCGAUCCAGCCGUCCAUCCUCCAUUCCUUUUCCGGAAUGAAGUUGAAAUUUCAGAAAAAAGCUUGUUUUCCCCUUAAUGGUGUAAGUUUUUUUUGAGGAUUUGAAUUUCAAAUUGGGCCCUUCUAUCCGGAUUUUCAUCCGUUUUCCCCCCAUUUUUCGGAAUCAUAUUCUCCCUUCUAUAUAAUUGUUUUUGUUCACUGUGGGAAGGGGAGGAUUUUUUUUGGGAAAAAAAAUAUAGAAAGUUAGCCGAGCUUUACUCACAAAGGCAUAGUUUACAGGAGGUUUUGAGGAACACUCGAUUUUACGUUUUGAUAAAUUAUUGGAAAAACUUUCUAGUUCAAGGUUCUGGGAAGAUAGUUAUUCGGGUUUCAUUUAGUUUCUCUUGGUGUGCUGUUGGAACUCUUGAAGUUUUGUGUGUGGUGGUGGAAGCUCUCACGGCUAGCCUCGUCCCGUCCCCGUUCGCUGCUCGGAAAAGGUAAUAUCUCUUUUCUUCCGCGUCUUGUUUAGACUUUGGAUAAACCUGUUUCUGUGGAGUUCUUUUUUUUUGGGGUUUCAUUUUGUUCUAAUCUUAUUUUGAUUAGAAUACUCAUGGAUGAAAACUUGUUUAGUUUGAAUACAAGUGUUUAAAUUACUCCCGAAUAUGUCAUGCUUACGUUCUUGAGCGAUCCCUUUUUUAAAAACAUUUUUUCUGUAUCUAAUGCUAGUAUUGAUUCAAAAUGUUGCUGAUUCGUAUUCAAUGUUGUUGUUUCCCCUGCUUGCUCUAGUUUUUGCUUUUGCUUAUUCCUCUUAUCAAAUCCUCUGCUUGAAUCUCGUCGAACCCACUUUUCUCCACCCCUGCCCAUUUUAAAUUUAUCUUCACUUGUCUAUUUUUUUUUUAGCAUGAUUUGAUUUAUGUUUUCUGUCGAAGUUAAUAUCCUAAAUGAUCUCUCAACUUAGAUAUUUAUGUCAAUAAAAUCACUCAACAAAUUUAUCAUCAUUAAGAGAAAUCUGAAAUGACAAAAUAAUUUACUUUUUUUAUAGCAUGUAAAUAUGAAUUUCACAAAUAAAUAAAUUUUUAAAACCCAUUAAAACUUUUGACGGAUAUACUUUUUUUUACUAAGUAGGCGUUACUUAAAGGCGCAUAAUGUUGCUGCCAAUUUGAUUAAACUAUUAUAAAAAAUGGAAAGAUGUCUUUUAAUGAUAUAAUUUCCUAAUUGGAUUAAAUUAUUAUAAAAUAAAAAGAUGUCUUUUAAUGAUAUAAUUUCCUUUUUUUUAUGUUGAUAGAUUUGAACGGGUUAUUUCAAUAAAACGACGACACUAAUUAAUUGUUUAUCUAAUUUAUAAGCAUAUUUUAUUAAUACCAAAAAAAAUAAUAAUAAGUUUAAAGUGUAUGCGGUACUUCAUUUUAUUUUAUUUUCAUACACCUAUCAUAAUUAUUGCAAAGGUUAAAUACAUAAUAAUAUUACAAUACCCAGUUUACUAAUUAAGUUUGUUCUGCAUUGUUUAAGCAUGAGUAUCUUUCUCUAUAAUUUUGCUCUUUUAAUAACUUUUAAAGUUGCUUGUCACUUGCCUCUCCUUCAAAUUACUACUAUGUAUUAAGCUUUGGGCCACAAUAUUGAAAUGGUUACCAUAGAUAUAGCAGUAGCCUUAAUUUUCGGCAGUUGGGAUCUUAUACGUUGGAAAUCUGGCAUUCAAUUAUCAAAUGCCAUUGUGACUUACAUGUCUUCUAUCAACUUGUUUCUUUUUUUUGUAAGCUCGGACAAGUCUUUUCUUUUGGAUCUAAAAUUAUUAGUGUUUAACGUCAUGGAAUUAAUGUUAACAACUUAGUUUCCCCACUUCUCAAAUCUUUCAUUGCCUGACUGUUUAGCAUGAUGCGUCUUGAUCAAGUAUUUACUUCUUCUUCUUUUUCUAGCUAAGGAUCGCGUUUAGUGUAGUGUGACAUUGUUAGCUAAGCUACUGCCAGUUGUUUGCUAUAUUGAUAAGUCGUGCUCCUUUUUGAUACAUUCAUUAUUUAGUGAUUGGUUCAGAUAUAUUAUUGCGGGUUACUAAUUCUCAUUUUUGUGUUUGCAUGUGAAAUCUAUCCGGGUCCUCUGGAUCCCCUCCUUGUAUUCCUCUUUGGGCCAUGGAGGCCCAAUUCUAUUUUUAUCCGAGCCAGCCUAUUAAAAAAUUGACGAACAGGUCCCAAAGUUGAAAGAUGCCAUAUAUCGAGAAAUUGAAAGUUUGGGUUUUAAAAGGCCCACUCCUCUUUAAGAAUUGUAUUUUGUUAUUAUUGGGCCUAAGCCCUCGCCAUUUUACUUACUAUUACUUGUUAGUUCUUAGAACAGGUGAAAAUUGGGCCAAAGGCCCAAAAUGAAAAUGGGCCCAAAUACUGGCCCAGGCGGACAGAAAAAACCAGAUUUGGGCCCAAAUCUCUUUCCCUCCUUUAUUUGUUGUGUUUAUUUACUCGUCACUAUCUGCUAUUAGUCUUAAGGGUUUUAAAAUUUUCAAAUCCCCAAAAGACACCCAUUUUGAAUUAAUUACUUAACCAAUUAUUCGUCUUUACUUGACUUAAAUAAUAAAUAAAUAAUUUCACAAAAAUUUUUCACUUAGAUAAUAUUUCAAUAUUUCCCCCCUUUCCCCUUUAAAAAUAAUUCUAACUAUAAAAUAGUUCAAAUUUUUGCAAUUUAAGUUAAAGUCAAAAUUAUUUUAGCCAAAUAAAUUGAUUGUUGGAUAACCGCAUUAGCGGAUAUUCUAGGUGCCUUAAAAACCUUCCUAGAAUAUUAAUAGGAACCUCGAACCCCUCUUUAAAUAGUUUUCAAUAGAUUUACUGUUUUAGUCUUUUGAAAACAAUAGUUUUCUUGAUUUUUCUUAAAAAUUAAGUGGCGACUCUUAAACAAGUCCAAAAUAAUAUUUUCCUAAUAAAACAAAGUUGAAAAAUAGUUUGAAGUUAAAGUUGUAUUUGAACAUGCGUAUUUCAAAACAAGUGUUGUGAAUCCCGAAGAGAAUUGGUUUGUGAAAAACUCAUAUUAAAAAAUUAGCCAAAAAAUCGUACUUAUAAUAUGCAACUAAACACUACUCUGAAAAUAUUUUUAGAAAAAAAAGUAAUAGAUUGCCCCCGGCCUAGAGUUGUUCGAAAAAGUCACUUACACAUUGAAACUUUGGGGACAAUCUAUUACUCCCUUUAUUUUGAUUAAAAUGAAAUCAAUAUCCCUCAAAGUUCAGAUAGUCAACCAAUUGAAUUACUAUCCAUUUGUCCAGAACUUUCACCUAGUUUGACUACCUAAACAUUCAUACGAUUGGUGAGGGUUUGAACCUUUUUUUUUUUUUUAACAGCAAUGAAGAUUCUAUUUCAAAGCAAAAGGUUACAGAGGAGGACCAAACCUUACCUCAUGCAAGAGUAGCUAAAUAAAGCAAUUUUAGCUUCCAAAAAUAAAGCAAAAGAGGAAGAUCACAAAUAUAAAGCAUGCAACCACCAACGGAUGUGGUGAAGCAGAUAAGAUUGCUCCUUCCUUAACCAAAGAUCUCGGGUUUGAGUCUGGGUAUGAAAAAAUUGAACGUUUUUUCCCGAACGGAGUCCUACUCAGCACGAAUCCAAAAUAGUCAGACUCUAAUAAUGAGUGUGAAAGCAUUAGUUAAUUGUCAUUGCAUUCAAUGUUGUUAUAGGCUUGAAGGAAAUUUACAAAGAGUAUUAUUUACCUGUUGAAACACAUAUUUAGCAGCAAUCAAGCUAUAUCGUUAAUUAAUUACAUAAAUAUCCUCUCUUUUUUAAAUUUCAUACUUAAACUAUCACUCACUAAGGAGAAAAAAUGGGUUCCAAAAGCAUUUCUGAUUCUUGGCCUUUUUAUGGCCAUAUUUGUAAUGAAAAGCUCUGAUGUUUUAGGGAGUUGGCUAAGACUUCCACCACUUUCGAAGAGGACUGUAAAAUUAUUUUGAUCUUUCUAAUUAGUGGUUCACUAAAUUAAGUACUUAAUGUUCCUUGCCUCUAUAGGUGAUGAGGCAAUGGACAAAGAGCCACACAAUAGAUUAAGGAUAAUGCUAAAUGGCCAGAAAAUUUGGUCAGAAUUUGGUCAGAAUUUAAAAAGUCUAUAAUAUCCUUUUUACUUUAAAAUAAACUAAUCUUUUUUCCAUUUUUUAAUUAAAAGAUAUUAAAGUUAAAAGGGUAAAAAUGCUCAAAAAGAUAAAAUAACAUAGUGUGAACUAUGUUAUUUUAUCAUUCUGCAAUUUUCUGGCCAAAAAGAUUUUUCCAUAGAUUAUUUAUGUGGAUUGUGGAGCAAUAUAUUAAAACUAGAUAUGGACCUCGUGUUAGCACAGGGCCCAACAUAUAUUACGUUAAUCAAUUUCUUAACAUGUUUUUAUAUAUUAGAGUUAACCAAGGUUUUAUAUAUAUUUACAAAUAUAUAGAGAGAGAUUUUUUGAGUUGCUAAUUACUGUGAUUUAUGGUAUCUUUUUUACGUAAUUUUCACAUAAUAUAUAUUUCUCUUUUUGUGUUGAUUUAUGUGAUAUAAAUGAAAUUUCAAAAGUCAAUCAAUUUUUUUAUAAAUUCUUUUUGAUAUUUAAGUUAUUAAUUAUUGUGAUUUACAAUAUAUUUUAUGUAUUUUAUAUAAUAUAUCUCUCUCUUUAUCCCAAUUUAUGUGUAUAGAUGAAAUUUUGAGAGUUAACAAAAUAUUUUUAUAUCUUUUCAAAUAUUUUGAAGCUAUUAAUUAUUAUGAUUUAUACUACUUCUUACAUAAUUUUUUAAUAUAUAUAAAGUGAUAAAAGACAAAUUUUAAAAAAAGAAAACUUUAAGUUGCCAAACUACCCCUUGCUACAAGCAGGCAUGUUGAUGAAGAGUUGCCAGCUUGUAGCCUCAUCUAUAGUAUAGUAAUAAUAAUAUAUAUACAAGAUACGAGAUCCGUGCCAGCAUGGCCCAAUAUAUAUUAUUUUUAUUUUUAUUUAUGUGACACGGAUGAAACUUGAGAAGUUAUUCAAAAUUUUAUAUGAUUUUUAAAAAUAUUUUAAGUUAUUAAUUACUGUGAUUUAUAGUUUUUUUAAGCGAUUUUGAGGUAAUAUAUAUUAUUUCGUUUUUCCAAUUUAUGCGGCAUAGAUAUAAUUUCAAAACUUAAUUAUUUUUAUGUCUUUUAAAUUGUUAAUUAUUGUAAUUUGCAGUACCUUUUACGUAAUUUUUAAAUAAUUUUUGUUACUUCUCAUGUCCCAAUUUAUGUGGUAUUGAUAUAAUUUCGAGAGUUAGCCAAUUUAGUUUUUGUCUUUUAAAUUUUUAAGUUGUUAAUUAUUGUGAUUUAUAAUACUUUUAACGUCAUUGUCAAAUAAUAUAUGUCAUUUCCUCUAACCCAUUUUUUGUGUCACUCGUAGAAUUUUGAGAGUCAAUUGAUUUUUUUAUAUGACUUUUAAAUAUUUUAACUUAUUAAUAAUUGUGAUUUUGUCACGCCCCAAACCUGUACCCCGGAUGUGGCUGACACUCGAGAACCAUUGUUGGCCCCAAGCGAACCCUUGGUCUGGCUUACUUACUCAGUGAAAGACUUUAAGCAUUAUUAUAAUGAUCAAAUGCACUUCUACUCAUUGUUUAAUAAAAUAACUUAGAGCGUUUGAAGGUCAAACAUUCAACUUGGCCAAAAUGGCAACUCCAGUCUUAACAUAUGAAAUAAUAAUGUAAAUACAACUGAACUACUGAUUGUCUAUGAAGCCUCUAAAACAAGAAGGGAUGUCGGGACAAGACCCUCAAUCAUCCUAGCAAAUGAAAUACUAAAAGCAAAUGAUAAAAAGGAGCCCUCCGGAAAGCAAAGAGGCUCACCAACUGACUCUGAAUGCUUAACUGGAUCAACGAGGUGCUGGAUGAUGAUCUUGGUUACCUGUGUCUACAUCAUAAUAAGAUGCAGGCUAAAUGACAUCAGUACAUUGAAUGUACGAGUAUGCGAGGGGAAUUCUAAAACAAGACAUAAGCUUGAAAGAAACUGAGAACUUACCUGGCUCAACUCAACUCAACUUAAUUAACUGAACUCAUUUCAAUAUAAAGCAAUAUAAAACAAGUGCAAUAUAAAGAAAAGCUAUUUAAAACAUGUAUGUCAACUCUGUGUAUUUGGAAAUACAAAAAUACUCUGUAUGUAAGCAAAGAUACACAUAGCUCUGAAAUGUAUGUAAAAUACAAAUAAACUGUGUAUAUAAGAAUACAAUUAAUUAUGUGGAAGUUUCUCUAACUGACAACCAUCACUUAAGAGCUAUAGUGAUGAUACANNNNNNNNNNNNNNNNNNNNNNNNNNNNNNNNNNNNNNNNNNNNNNNNNNNNNNNNNNNNNNNNNNNNNNNNNNNNNNNNNNNNNNNNNNNNNNNNNNNNNNNNNNNNNNNNNNNNNNNNNNNNNNNNNNNNNNNNNNNNNNNNNNNNNNNNNNNNNNNNNNNNNNNNNNNNNNNNNNNNNNNNNNNNNNNNNNNNNNNNNNNNNNNNNNNNNNNNNNNNNNNNNNNNNNNNNNNNNNNNNNNNNNNNNNNNNNNNNNNNNNNNNNNNNNNNNNNNNNNNNNNNNNNNNNNNNNNNNNNNNNNNNNNNNNNNNNNNNNNNNNNNNNNNNNNNNNNNNNNNNNNNNNNNNNNNNNNNNNNAUUUACUCUUUACUGAAAACUAGCUCAAAGGCUCUUUUGGAAAUCUCAGUUUCCUUUCUUAUUUAACAUGUGAAAACAUUUUAACUAUUUGGGAAUACAUAGUCCCCAUAUACUUUGAAGAAAUGAACUUCAACUUUACUCUUUACUCAACUCAAAACUCAAGUCUUAAAACAAAGUUAAAUCAUUUGUAAAAGACUUUUAGAAGACUCUAUGAACUUCUCUUGACUUGGCUCUUAACUUAUCUUGACUUGACGCUUAACUGAUCCUUGAAUUGAAUUAUGGAUUCAAGGAUUGAGAUUUGUGAUAGGAAAGAUCUCAUGAUGUUUAGGAGUGUUUUUAGAUAGUUAAACAUGAGAAAUGAUCAGGAAAUCACUGUCUGGAAGCAAGUCCGCGACGCGGAGAUGCAUUUAAUUAUUUGGUCGUGAAAUAAAUUUUGAGGCAGAACGGUCCGUGACCGCUCCGCUCCGCGAAGAAAAAUUGUCAAUUCUGAGGAACAAGUCCACGACGCGGACCUGGUACCUAGAUUCUGCCGACUUGUUCCUUCUUCGUUUUCUAACCCCAAAUCACCUAAAUUCGAUUCUUUUUCUCCUAUUCUCUUUAGAUUCAGAUACCCAACAUAUGUACACAAGAAUCUAAUCAAACACAACUCUAAAAUCAACCUUAAAGUCUAAAGAACUCCACAAUCUCAUCCCAAAUUCAAGAAUGAAAGUAAAUUCAAGAACAUUCGAACUUUCAACUUUUAAGAUGAAUUCAUGCUGAAUUAAACAUGUUUGGCGCGUGAGUGAACGAAUCCAACGCUGUGUGAACUCACAUACCUCGUAGGGAUCACCCCUUGACGAAAUCCACAAGUGAUUCCUUACGAAGACGACGAAUCUUGAACUUUCUUCUCCUUCUCCUCUUUUCUCUUUUCUCCAAGCCCUAGCGCGAACUUCAACUUUUCUAAACUAACUAAAAUCUUAUUUGAUCCCAAUUAAUUACCCAAAAACGAAAUAAAGUAAUUGGGUAAGGAAAAGACCAUAUUGCCCUUCAAAAAUUCGGAUUAGACUUUCCUAAAUUGAACAGCUCAACUUCAAAUGGGAAUAUCUCACUCAUACGAACUCGGAACCGCCCAAACUCGGCGGAGUUGGAAAGAUUAUUCCAAGAUCUUUCCUACAACAUCUGGAAACACACCUAACUCAUCCUGAGCUAUAAGUUAUGGUCGUUUGAAGUUGACCAAAAAUCCAACUUAACAUACCUAACAAAUUUUCCAGAUUUUUAUAUUCUUUCCAAAAAUGACUAUUUCACUUAUUAACUUCUAUCUAGUUCUUUCUAGUUACGGAGAGUUACAGAUUUAAAGUAUUAUUAGUGUAAUUUUCAAAUAUAUAACAGGUUAAAAAAAGAGUAAGACAAAAUUAAAAGGAAAAAAGUGCAGAAUUAAUGGUCAAAUUAAUAUGACGCAAAUGAAAUUUGAAGAGUCGGUCAAGUAUUGUAUAUAUUUUUUUUUUAAAAUUAAGUUAUUAAUUAUUGUGACUAAUAAUACUUUUAACAUCAUUUUUAUAAAUAAUAUAUGUUCCUUCUUUUAUCCUAAUUUAUGUGGCACAAUAGAAUUUAGAGAGUCAAGCAUUUUUUAUAUAAUUUUUCAAUAUUUGAACUUUUGUAAUGGCAAUUAUGAUAUAUAGUAACGCUCCAUGCUAUUUGGGGCGUACAUAUCAGUUUGAUUUAGUUUUCUAUUAAACUAAAUCUAAAUUAGUCAUGUCAAUUUAUUAAAUUUUAAAAUCAAAUAAAAUCACAUAAAGUCAGGUUUUUAAUUUUGGUUUUAGUUGGUUUUUUCAAUUUUUUUCAAUUAUAUGGUGAUUGAAAAAGAGAUUAAAUAUACUUUCACUUAUCGGUGUGAUAAGCUAAACUUUAAAAACGUUAAAUGAAUAGAAAUCUUCAAAAAGGCGGUAAAAUUGAUAUGAGUACAAAAUAAUUCUGUUGAAAUCAUUAUGUUAAAUUUAUAUGAUUAAAGGUUCCAGUCACACUGGAUACAAAACAAAAUAUUUACAGAGUAGAUAGUUAACUUCGAAUUUAAAAAACUAUAUUGUAACUUCCGAUUUGAAUAUAAAAUAAAAUAUUUAUAAAAGUUUACAAGUCCAAAUUUAAAAUAAUAUAUCUAAACAUUGAAAACUAUAAAUUAAUAAAAAAUAUAUUAACAAAAUAGAUUAUAACUAAUUAUUUUUAUCUAUAAAUUAAAAAUAAAAUAAUAUAUAUUAUGUCGGUCUGGUUUGGAUUUGGUUUGAUUUUUUUUCUUUUAAGAUAUUUCAGUUCGAAAAAAAAUUUGAUGACUAGAUCACUGAUCUAAUUUCUUUAAUCACGAGUAAUUGAGCUUUAGUUGAUUUUUUUUUCUUUAUCUACUAAAAUAUUUCAGUUGCUAAAAUUGAUGACUAGGUCACUAAUCUAAUUUCAUAAUCACGAGUCUAUUAUUAUUAACGGAUUUCUAGUUGAUUUUUUCUCUAUAACUACUAAGAUAUUUCAAUUCGCUAUUGAUCUAUUUCUUCAAUCACAAGUCUAUUAUUUACUGGAAUAAUCUAGAAUAUCUCCAACACACAAGGGUAGGUCUUUGGACUGAAUUUGUUGCUAUCCUUGAUAUAUGGAAAACAUCUACAUCCAAACACUUUUAAGCUAUUGUAAUCAGGUUGUUCCCCAUACAACUUAACAAAUGGAGUCACCAUCUUUAGGACUGAGGAGGGCAGUCUAUUGAUGAGAAAUACUGCAGUGAGGAAAGCCUCAACCCAAAGAAACAAAGGUAGAUUAGCAUGAAGUAGUAGAGUUAAGCCAGUCUCCACAAUAUGCCUAUGUUUUUUCUCUGCAACUCCAUUUUUUUCAGGUGUGUUAGGACAGGAAAUAUGUCUCACGAUGCCACAAUCUUCCAAAUGCUUAAUGAAGUCUGUUUGGAUAAACUCACCAUUUCCAUCACACUAAAAAAUCUUAAUUUCUUUAGAAAAUUAUUUUUCCACCAUUUUCUGAAAUUUUAUAAAGACCUCAAAGAAUUCAGAUUUCUUUUUCAGUGGAUAAAUCCAUGUAUAUCUCGUGUGAUCAUCAACAAAAACAACAUAAUAUUUCAUAUGUUGGGAAGAUUCGACAGGAGCAGGUCCCUAUAAAUCACAAUGUAUUUUCAAUAAAGGUUCUUUAUCAAUUUUAUUUCUCAAACCAAAUGAAAGUUUACAACUCUUUCCCAACUGACAACUGAAACAAACAGUAGGCAUUUUAUUUCAACUACUAAUAUUGAUGCAACUAUUACUAUUCAAAACUUUCAAAGACUUCAAACUAGGAUGUCCUAAUCUAGUAUGCCACAUGUUAUCUGACGUGUUUCAAUCAUGUGCAGCAGUCAAAGCAUAGUGAUUGUUAUCUUCCAAAGCAUAGAGUCCAUUCCUUUUAGUUCCCUUGGCCAGCAGUGUCCUUGUCUUCUUAUCCUUUACAACAAAGUUAUUUUCAUCAAAUUCAAGAGUGCAACAAUUAUCCUUUGCAAGCUUACUAAUUGAGAGUAAAUUUUUAUUAAUCUUAGGGCCUAUAAGAACUUCUUUUAACUUUAGACCUGAUCCGGAUAUGUUUCCAACAUGUGUUAUAACUAACUUUGAUCCAUUCCCAAUAAUGAUUUUAUCUGUUCCAUUGUAGUGUUUAAGAUCAGUUAGGAUACCUGAGUUAUGUGUCAUAUGGCUACUUGCUCCUGAGUCCACAUACAAUGUGUCAUCAGUAGUGUUUUGUAGAUUAGUAGCAGUCAAUGCUUGUGAUAGCUCAUCUGCGGCUUGGUAAGAGUAAUCUCACCUGUAAAAACACUUAAGAGCAGUAUGGUUAUUCCUACCACAGAUUUGACAUGCAUCAGUACUGUUCCUCUUAUGACUUCCACUUGAAGAAUUGUUCUGAGGACCUGAUCCGUUUCAGUUGUUAUAAGAACCUGUUCCUUGGCCAGCAGGCUUAAAGUCUCUUCCUCUAGAAUUGAAAUUAUUGUUUCCUCUUCUUUGAGAGUAGUUUCCUCUUCCCCUGCCUCUUUGGGCAGAGAAUGUCAUGUUAUGAUUUUGCAUCCUCCCUCAUAUCAAAACCCCUUAGAGCAUUAACAAAUUGAUUAAGAGUAGGAUAUGGUGUCUUACCUAGCAUGACAGUCCUGAAGGUCUUGUACUUAAGACCUAGACCUCUAGCAAAAUUAAUCACUUUGCUAUCUUCAUCUACAGGCUUGUGAAUGGCUGCAAGGCCAUCGCAUAUGCCUUUGAAUUCCUUAAUCUAAGGUGAGAACAUUUUUCUUAUUGGUUUCAUGUAUAUGAGUGUCUAUGGAAAUUCUUUGUGGGACUGAAAAUGUCAUUGUCUCUUCCUUCUAUAUGCCAAAAUAGUGAAUUUUGAAGUUUUAUUCAGUAAAUUCAAUGAUCGAAAGUUCUGUAAUGCCAGUCAUUCUAACUAUUUUUUUGUUUGAAUGGAUUGUUGUCACUUUUUUCACGUUUUUGAAUGAAUUGUUUCUUUUAUUUUUAUAUAUGGUUAAUAACCGAAAAACCGAACCAAACCGAACCAAAACCGAAAACAACCAAACCGAUAAAUGUAUAUUAUAUUUGGUUUGGUUUGGUUUUGAUAAUUUUAAAACCGAUUAAGUUGGUUUGGUUUUGGUUUUGACUAGUAACCGACCCAAACCAAACCGUGAACACCCCUAAUUGUAGCUCAUUUUAAAAAUAAUAAUAAUAAUAAUAAUAAUAAUAAUAAAAAAUAUGAUAUAAUAAUAAUAAUAAUAAUAAUAAUAAUAAUAAUAUUCUGGCUUACAACACUUGGUAUUAAUUGGUCAAAGUAUGUGAUUUUAAUUUUUGUUUUGGAAAAAUCAGUAUAUGUCUGAAUUUACCAAAUUGAGGUAUUUAAACGUACAUUCUCAAAUUGAAGUGUUUAUUUGUUAUCUAACUAAGGCCAAACUUAAAUGUUUGUUUCAAUAUUACUUAGAACACCUUAUGAGUCCAAAUCUUUAUCAAAUGCAAACUCUCUUUGUUCCCAAAAAUCGUAUGCUAACGUAAUUAAAAUUAUUGAAAUCAUAAAAGAAUUAAAACAAACAGCAUUAACAUUAUUCACCCAUAUAUAAUUAAAUAGAGGUAUAUCCAAUUAUUUUUAUAUAUGUACUCGAUACCGAACCACUGUUUACUUAACAUUUAUCCUCGAACAUCACAUUGACAGGUUCAAUAAACAACAAGGUAAUCAUAUCCUUAAAUUCGCUUCGGGUAUUUAUAAAAUCGCCCUCUUUGAAAAUAUAUGCCAAGCGUGCAAAAUUUAUAACUUGUUCGAGGACAAAUAUUGGUACUUCAGAAGGGCUGAGGAAUUCCUCGUUCAUGUCUUUCCAUGCAUUAGCGAGUUUCUGCAUUAGCGAGUUUCUUUUGAGCCUCAACAUAUGCUUCUUGCUUUGAAACUCCGUGUUCUUUCAUGUAGCAUUCAAUGAAUGAAGCUACAUGGCUUCUUUGUUGUUCGAACUGCAUGCAUAAAAAUAGAUUUCAAUAUGUUGGAGUUGGAUUACGGGUCGUCCAUGUGGGCUAACUCGAUCCUAUUCAGAAAAUAUAAAUUAAAAGGAACAGAAAAGAAACAUGUCUAUAGUGGUAAACCUAAUUGUUUAUUAUAAAUUUUAGCAAUUUUCAUCGAGACACAUAGCUAUUUAUUUAGAAUUGGUGUUCAACACUUACAUCAUUUGUAUUAAUAUCGUCCUUUAAUCUGCCGAUUACUGAUGAAGCUCGAAGAAUCAAAGGCUCAUUUAUUACCCAUUCAAAUGUCUCUUUGGUAAUAUUUUCCUCCAUAACACACAAGAAAGUUGUUGCAGCCAUCAUAACCGUAGUACUUACAAUUGCAAUUUUCAUGUACUCCUCACAUUUUGGAAUAUAGACAUCAUUUAACCAUAGUGCUUCCUUGAGAUAUGCUCUAGCUACUUUCUUCAUCUAAUAUAGGAGUUAAAAGAAAACUUAGAAUCAGAUAAUGUUAAAGACAUAAUCAAGUAAAUAAAAAUGUGUUCUCUUUUUUUAAAAAAAAAUUGAACUUUUGAACGACAUAGUCACACGAUAUAAUUCUCAUGGCAUCAUAGUUGAGACAAAAUCUUUACAUACUUGGCACAUUAAACAAGAACCAAUUUCUCAUGUAAGGAGCGUAUUGAAGGCAUAAUAAUAAAUGGCAAUGUUAAUGUUUGAUUUAAAAGAAAUAAAGCUAAGGGAGCUUACCUCUUGUUUUGCAUAGUAGAGACAUUCCAAUUUACUUUCUUUGGUCAAUUCUUCUUCUAUUUCAUCAUAACGGUCUAGAAGAGUUCGAUAAACAGGUCUCAAAUUGGGUGAUACUAAAUUAAUGGCACUUAUGUCAUCACAUCUGCAUGUUAAGAGUUUGGAUCGAAGUUACAAACUAAAAUUUCUUAUUUAUACAAAUCAUCUCAUAAUAGUAACAUGUCCUUGACACAUUUUAUUUUCCUACUCAUUUGAACGCGUGAGAAAAUCAUUAGUGUAUAGUUUAAUUACCUAUCGAUUGCAUUUGUGAAAGCCACAAGUUCAUCAUAGGUUGCAUAAGUAUCAUAUGUGUCAUCAAUAAUGACGUAUGUCGUGAAUAAUUUUGUCAUCAUUUUUCUUGCACGACUAUGUUGAACUUCAAAGUACACACCAGCUACCCAAAAGUAACACUCCACCAUUCUAUCUCUAGCAUAUGGAAAUUGCUUCGCGAAAUCUUGAUUUUUUCACCACCUAUAUGGUCAAAGAUGGAGUUAGAAUUGUCAUUAAGAAUGUUCAAAAUAUAAAAAUCGAAGUAAACUUACAAAAAAAAUCAAUAGUAUACAUCAUUUACUAUAUAUACAUAAAUGACAAGGAAAGAGUAAUGUAUGUACCUUGUAAGCUCGCAAAGCUCUCCUUGAUGCAACUUUUGUAGAAUAUUAAAAUCCAAUUUUGCAAAUCUCAAAAGCAAAUCACUAUGAGAUUCAAUGUUCUCAUAAAUACAUAUGUAUUUCCUUGCUAACAACCUUGGUAAAUUUGUAUGAAUGGGCUGGCUUAAGGCUUCACUAACUUGGGCCUUGAGUAAGUUGCUCAAUUUUGGGACCAUGGACUCUAGAUGAGUGAUGGUAAAAAUUAGAGCUUCUUCAAAAAUCUCUUCCUCGUGUAUUCGUAGAUGUGUUGCUUCAUAUAAACUUAAUAAUCCAUGAACAUCUUUAAUAAGAUUUUCCUUGAACUUUUCGUCAUGGUUAGUGAAUUUCUUAAACACAUCUGAUUAAUUAUAUUGAACAUCAUAAGAGAAUUAACUAAAGAAUCGUAUACAAUGUUGGAAUAUAAUUAAGGUGAGCUCUUUUAGGAUAGAAGAGAAGAAAUAAACUUACCAGAAGACAUGUAAUGUCUUUGUUGUCUCACUAGUCGAAAACGAAGAGCAACGACGUAAAGAUCGUCAUCAUCUUCAUUUUUACUUUGUUUGGAUUCAUCAAAAAUAUUUUGAAUGGAUGUUUUAAUUUCAUUUUUGAAAUGAUAUGCCACUCCUAGUCGUUGGAUUGUAUCAAUCAAGACAAGUUUUUGUGUAGUAUUAUCUGGUGUUUCAACUAACAUUUUCUUGACUUUUUCUUUCAACUCUUCAAAUUCAAUUUUUUCUUGGGUACUAAUUUUCUGCACCAAGAAUUAAGCCUUAAUACAAAACAAAAACAAUACUAAAAUGAAGGUGUCAUGUGUGAUUGGUCGAAAUGCUUUAAAAAAAAUCUAUACAAAAAUAAGUUUCUUAAAGAUAAGUAAAAUGAAUAAAGGGGCGAGAGAAACAUGAUCUAUAUAGUGUUUGUCUAAAUUAUAUAUAAAUAUUUUUGAGAUAAUAUAUUUUGUAUACUUAUCAAAUAGAGUUAAUGGUCAAAAAACUAUACAUAAAAUAUCAUAUUUUGCGAGUUUUCUACCUAAACUAUCAAGUGUUCACAUUUUCUACCUGAACUACAUCAACUAUUUAUCAAAAUAUACCUCAAGUUCAAUUAUCAAUUGUUCCUUUUUUUCUACAUGAAAUAUAACUAUCGUUCAGGUAGGAAAAGAGAAUAACUGAUAGUUGAUGUGUGUUUCGAUAAACUUUUGGUGAUAGUUCAAAUAGGAAACUCGCACAACUGAGAGUACAAGUAUGAAACUCGAAAAAUAAAAAACAUGAAUAUAAUAUGAGUAUAUUGUAUGUCAUACCGUGAGUUGAGGAGUGUAAGAGAGGAAAUAAUUUUCCCAAACAGUUGAGUGAAAAUUUGCCAAUGGACGUUUAAUAUUGCCGCUGGAAGAAUCAACCAUUGCUACACUCAUUUUUAAUUUACUCAUAUUUUUCUCUCUUCCUUUUUUUCCCUAAAGGGACAUGUGAAUAUUUAUGUGGUAUUUUGAUUACUUUAGAAUUAGAAUUAUAGGACAGAAAAUUAUUUCCCCAAAAUGUUGGUUGAACAUUUCUCAAAUGACAAGAGAUUGUAGAAACAAUCAUUGUUUUUUUCCUCUCUUUUUAUACAAUUAAUUAAUUAAGCUGUGAAGUAUUUAUAGUAAAGGUGUGAUCACUGCACCAAAAAUAUCUUUACCGGUAUUUAAUUAGCGUGCUGUUAAAUAUGUAUUUUAACGGUAAUUAGCAUUCUUUAAAUGUUUCUAAAUCCUAUAACGAUAUUUGAUCUAAUGACAAUUAAUUAAUAUCAGUAAAAACUUUAACACUAUUUAUUAAUAUAUAUAUUACCGCUAAAAAUUAUUUUUAUUGUAGUGGAUAUCUAUACCUAAAUCCAAGGAAAAUGAAGAACCUGAUCUACGAGUUAUUGGAUAAGAAUUAAAGAAUUCAUUGGGUCUUCUUGGUUUGUGUAAUACACGGUAUAUGUGGAAUUAUCUGGUUUGGUGUUAGUGACACAUUGAAAAUUUAAUGUCAAUAUACAGUCAAUUUUUUUUAUAAUAUUCAUAUUUUAUAUUAAUAUUAUUUCAUUAAAAUGAAGUUUUUUUUUAAUUAAUUUUUUAUAUUUGUCAAUUAUAUAUUUUUGGUUGAAGUGUUAAAAAUAUAUCUAAAUUAUUUUAUUUUAAAAAACUUCAUACUUAAAUUAUUAAACUAGUUUAAAUCGAUACCUAAACUAUCACUCAGGCGGAAAAAUGGGUUCCAAAGCAUUUAUGAUUCUGGGCCUUUUUUUGGCCAUAUAAUUAUGGACAAAUUACAGAAAUCAAAUACUUUUAAGGUAAAAUUACAAUUUAUUCUUCAAAAGUUUAUAAUUACAGAAAUUCCUUAAACGGAUACAAUAAUAUAAGCGCUGAUACAUUAAUUUGAUGCGCGAGGUACAAUAAUAUAAGUGAUGAUACAUUAAUCUGAUGUGUGAGAUACAAUAAUAUAAGCGCUGAUACACUAAUCUGAUGGGCGAAAAUGAGGGAUUUUGGAGAUUUGUAAAACUUAUAGGGGAUAAUGGUAAUAAGUAAACUAAAAUGUGGAAUUUCUAUAAUUUUUCCUAUUAUUUUUUAGUUAGGGAGUUGGCUACUGUAAGAUUGUUUCUCCUUAUAUUCUCUUUUUUUUUAAAUAAAUGAAUACAAUAAAACCUCUCUAAAUUAAUACAGGCGGGACCAUGAAGUAUUAUUAUUUUAUAGAGGUAUUAUUUAAUUGAUAAAUUAAUAUUUAUUAAUUUAAAGAGUGUUUCGUAAAAACUGUUUAGGGAUAAAAUCUCAAAGAAUUUGAAAGAACCCAUUAGUGAAAAUGUCAUUCGUGAACUUGAGGUCAUGAUUAAUGAUCUUGGUUACCACUAGGGGUGUUCAUGGUUUGCAUAAAAACCGAUCCAAACCGAAAAACCAAACCAAACCGAUUAAAUGAACCAAUUUAAUUUGGAUUUUGGUUGGUUUGGUUUUAGAUUGUUAAGAACCGAUAGUAUUUGGUUUGGUUAUGGUUUUGUUCGAAAAAAAUCGAAGAAAUAACCGAACCGAACCAACAAGUUAUAUACAUAAAUUUUAUUAUUAUACAUACAUAAUAUAUUAUAUUCAUAAACAAUUUUAAAGAUUUUAUAUAUGUUUCAUCAAAAUUUAUUUUUAUAAUUUACUUAUGAAAGAAAAAAUGUCCAAGGUGAGAACAUUUUUCUUAUUGGUUUCAUGUAUAUGAGUGUCUAUGAAAAUUCUUUGUGGGACUAAAAAUGUCAUUGUCUCUUCCUUCUAUGCCAAAAUAGUGAAUUUUGAAGUUUUAUUCAGUAAAUUCAAUGAUCAAAAGUUUUGUAAUGCCAGUCAUUCUAACUAUUUUUUUUGUUUGAAUGGAUUGUUGUCACUUUUUUCACGUUUUGAAUGAAUUGUUUUUUUUAUUUUUAUGUAUGGUUAAUAACCGAAUAACCGAACCAAAACAAACCAAAACCGAAAACAACCAAACCGAUAAAUGUAUAUUAUAUUUGGUUUGGUUUGGUUUUGAUAUUUUUAAAACCAAUUAAGUUGGUUUGGUUUUGGUUUUGACCAAUAACCGACCCAAAUCAAACCGUGAACACCCCUAGUUACCACAAUAUAAUGGAUGUUAAUAACCUAUUGGAAGGGUGAAAAUGAUACAUGUUUAGAGGUCCAGAGCUUAGAACGAAUUGUGGAUAUCAUUAGAAACACAAUGUUGAUGAUAAAGUUGAAGAUGAUACGAUACAUUUGGAACCAGUUACGGGUAAUUAAGGAGACACUUGCAUCUAGAACUCUUCACGAUUUUAUGGUGCAAUUAGAAAAGAUAACAUCGAAACUUCUAGAUGCAAUAAGAAAAGUUGGAAAUGAGCUACAACUAGAUUUAAAUUUUAACAAAAAAAACA
rnacentral:lncRNA from 1 species